rnacentral:lncRNA from 1 species
GAUAUUUUUUUUCUUAUUUUGCAUUUUCAUUCAACCAAUGAAUUAAUGCCAAAUCAGUUUGUACAAGAUAAAUUUGUACAAGAGUUUGUGGCUAUAUCAUCACUCAUUUUUUUAAUUAAGUCAACUUAAUUUUUUAAUGAAUAAUAAUAAUAAUAAUUGUUUUAUUUAGAUUUUGGGAUGCAAGAAAGAUGGCAAAACCUAACAAAGAACAAUGAAUUUAUUUUUAAAGUGCAGGGUGUCUUAAUGAAUCGGGGUGUGCAUGAUCUGUUUUAGGAUUUUUUGAAGUUGAACAGAGAGUUACAAAGGAUUGGUAUGGCGAGAGAUCAAAUCUGGAGUGAGAGAGCUUAAAAGAAUGCCUUAAACCUACAACACAAUAAAAAUGAGGUUAGAGGUGGAGCCGCCAGUAGCUGGCAACCACACUCUGUCGCUCCAGUCAGGUUUUGGGACUAUUAAUGGUAUUAAGAGGUUGCAAGCUCUCUAAAAGGGUGGGUGGAGUUUGAAGGAAACCUCAACCUUUUUAGUGGAGUUUGUGUUUUGUUAGGGAUGAGAAAUGUAGAACCUUGGUAUCUUUGUAUAUGGAGUACCCUGAUUGCUCUGUCGCUUGGUGCAUUUCUAGUGGUGAUUUUGUUGUCCUUUUCCAAGAUUUUUUUUCGUCUUUUUACCUUUAUCACGAUUAGGCUAUUAAAAGCAUGCUUGGGAAGCAAGAAAGGCAUUAUUGGGAGGUUUGUUCCCUUGUACACGUUAUGCAUGCUGCAGAUACCUUUAAAAAGGUUGUUUUGGUAGUUUUUUGGUGUGGCAGCUGAGGAGUCCUUAGCAUGUUGUUUCUUGCUUUUUACAGGUGUGACAACUUGUUAUCCCCUCUUUUCUAUCAAGAUAUUCUAUACUUAAUUCUGCAAAAUCAAAUUUUCCCUUUAAGUGAUGGAGUUAUUUCACACAUGUGGUAUUUUAUGUAUUUUAUCGAGUAUGUAAUAUGGCAUACCUAGCAGAUGUUAUAUAAUUGUGUUUGAGAAUUUGAUUUUAAAAUGGAUUGUAUCUUUUUAUUGAAAUUUUUUUUAUUUUCAGUGAAUUAUACAGUAAACUAAUGAUAAAUUAAAAAAAUAUAUUUUAGACAAUUAUUUAAAAAAUAAUACAAUAGGUUAUUAUUUAAAUAAUAAGAAUGAAAGAGAUUAUUGCGUAAAACCAUAAGGUUCUCACGGCUAACUAAUCAAAGUUCAAAAACGGGUCACCCCCCAAACGAAUGCCUUCGCAUGGAGGUCACCCGGUGGGGCAACACGCAAAUUGGAUUAGUGAGAAAACUGAGAUUCUCGUUGCUUCUUUCCAAAUUAAAAUUUUCAAACGGAUGCUGAAUUGUUGAAUAAGACGCCAAAUUCUAUUUCCACCUAUGUCGUUGUAAUGAUAUUAUAUCUUUGCUGCAUGUGUCACACUCUCACAUCCGUACAAGAAAUAUAAUAAAUAAAUAAUAUGAGAUAACGGAUGGUAAUAAUAUAACAUGCCACCUCAGGUAUGUACCUCAGAAAAAUAAUUUUAAAAUAAAAAUAUAUAUAGAAAACCCUUUAAUUUAGGUUAAUUUAAAAUGUAUAAGGAAUAUUUCAAAUUUGAUAAAAGGUUUAAAAUGUAUAAGAAUAUUAAUGUUUAUGUGCAUAUAAAAUUUUUAAAAUUAACAUGAAGUUUCCCUUAGUUAGUAAUUAAUUUUAAACACUUAAAAACUAACAUGAAAUUUCACUUAAGUAGUAAUUAAAAUUUUAAACACUUUAUUUGAGAAUAAAAUCAUAAAUAAAAAUUAAUGAAUUGCACUUGAUAGUCUCAACUUACCCGAGCGGUUCGGCAUUCAUUUGAAAUUGUUAAUAUACUGUGGACUUCCUUGUUAUCUCCUAGUUAUGGAAGUGACUAAUGUAGCAUUUAUUUUUUUGUUUGAAAUUUAAAUAAACUUGAAUUAGUCACUAUUUUAAAUAGUGUUGAAUCUAAAUCAUAUUUUUUUUGUUUGAAUCACCAAAAAUAAGUAAUAAUUUAUUCUUUCUUUUAACGUAAAAAUAUGAAAAUCAGUAUUUCUACAUUUGUGCUCAUAGAAAUUAAAAAUGUUAAAUAAAUAAUAAAUAUUUCAAAGAAAAUAAAUAAAAUAAUAUGUUAUCAUAACAUAUGGUUAAUGCGAUAUUAAUAAAAGAUUUAUUUUUUCUAUCCGUCGGUGUAGGCCAAUAACCGAACCAUGUUAAUUCUCCGUGUUUUUCUUAUUAUAUAACCUUAGCUAAACUAGUUCUCUAGUUGACCGCAUUUCUACAUCUAACAAUUCUUGUGAUGUAUAGGCAGCUGAAACAAUUUUUUGCGUUUUAAAACCUUUCUGACUGUAUAUCAUCAUUUUAUUUUUUUACGCACACCAGGAUUUGUGACGGCUAUACGGCCCAUCUCCGAUGCAAAAAAUAAAUAAAUAAUAAACGACGUCUAUUUCCACCGCAUAUGACUAUUACGCCAACGUUAUGGAAGUUCCUCACAAAUUUACGAAAAUGACCCUUUAUCUAAUAUUUUGAUAUUUUGUAAUUCUAUCCUCAUCAACAUUUUUAUAUUAAUUAAAAUUUUUAACGAACAUCAGUUGUAAGGUCCACAUCACAAUGACACAUCAUUAGAUACGUGACUACACGCACUAUGACACAUCAAGAUCACAAUGUUUUUAAUUAAGUUCAGUCUUAUUACAAAUGCACAAAUGUCUGUCUACCAGUCUUUUUAUGUUUGGGAGCUAGAGUAAGUGUAGGAUUAGAUUAAUUUUUUAGACAAAAUAUUUAUUCCAUGUUCGACGGGCUCGCUUAAAUUUGAUUAAGAGGAUUAAAUUCAAAUUUACUUUUACAAUCAUAGGAUUAGUUAUCAUAAUUUUCACAUGGGUUUAAGGAGAAUUAGAGUAAGCAAUGUUUGUCCCUUUAUGACAAUCUGUUUGUUUAUUAAUGAGUUGUUAUCUAUUUAAUUAUUUAUUUAUUUUUAUUCAUGAUUUCUUAAAAAUUAAGUAUGUAUUUUUUAUUCUACCCAUGUCAUCUUUUAUCAUUUAUUUAUUUAAUGUUAAAAGUAAUGCAUUAACAAAAUUACUUUUUAGAAACAUGCCAUUUAUCAUUUGAUUAUUAUACAAAUAUUUUUAAAAUAUUUGAUUAAUAAUUAAUUUUAUAUUGAACUAUUUUAGUUAUAUUUUAUUUAAUAGGCAAUAAUAUGCAUCAUAUAUAAAAGCAUAUAAUUUUCAUAAUUUUAGUUGUUCUUGUUAAAAACCAUUUAAUUUCACUUAAAUUUAAUUUAACAUAGUGUAAUUAAAUAUUAUACUAAAUAUAAGAUUGUACUACAUAUAAAAAAUACAAUGUAAUCUAAUUCAAUUUAAUCUAAUUGAAUUUUAAGUGUUAAUUCAAUUUAAUCAUGCUUACUAAACGUAGCCUAACCUAUAACUAAAUCAUACAGUAUAUGAUUGAUUGAUAAUGAAAGAGUAAUCGCUGGCAGACUUAUGUUGUGGCUUGACUCUUCUUGAGUCCAUUUCUUUGAAAAUAUUACAUCCAAUUUGGCCCUGCCAAUCGAACAGAUAGUUCAAAUUGACAAAAUGUCAAAAUCAAUUCAAUUGCGUGCACGCAUGUGUUGGCUUUCACUUUCAAUUUUUUCAAUUUCUAAUUUUUGGCAAAAGGCUAAACUAAUAAAAAUCAUAAAGCUGGUCAAUCCCACAACCAAACACGAGGUCCAUUCGAGUUUGAUUUACCACUCCUCUACGGAGUUAUUACACGACACUCUUAUUACGCGUCACUUUGUGGGAUUAGAGGAAAAGGUUAAAGUUUGCUUACAUAAUCGUAAAGACCCCCUUAAUUUUUUAAAUUGUUACAAUUCUUAAUUUUAUAAAUAGUUAGACAAGUCUUUUUUUAACCAUUAUACCCUUGAUUACAACUAUUCAAUAUUCACUUUAAAUAAACUUUUAUUACAACAAUUCAAUAUUCAUUUUAAAUAAACUUUUAUAAUAAAUAUAAAUUAAAAUGCAAAAAAAAUGUAAUGUAUAAAUUAAGAUAAAAUGUGUAAAUUAUUUGGAAUAUUAGAAAAGUUAUUUUAACAUCAUUAAUCUGUCAUAUUCUUUUAAUAAUAAUAAAAUCUAUUUGACAUAUUAAUAAUGUUAAAAUAACUAUACCUAAUAUUCAUAGUAAUUUAUAAAUUGUAUAUUAUUCUAUUUACUAAUGUCUUUUUUAAUUGUCUAUCAGUAUAAUAUAUUAAAAUCAAGUCUUUUUUUAACCGUUAUACCCUUGAUUACAACUAUUCAAUAUUCACUUUAAAUAAACUUUUAUAAUAAAUAAAAAUUAAAAUGCAAAAAAAAUAUAAUGUAUAAAUUAAGAUCAAAUGUAUAAAUUAUUUGGAAUAUUAGAAAAGUUAUUUUAACAUCAUUAAUCUGUCAUAUUCUUUUAAUAAUAAUAAAAUCUAUUUGACAUAUUAAUAAUGUUAAAAUAACUAUACCUAAUAUUCAUAGUAAUUUAUAAAUUGUAUAUUAUUCUAUUUACUAAUGUCUUUUUUAAUUGUCUAUCAGUAUAAUAUAUUAAAAUCAAGUCUUUUUUUAACCGUUAUACCCUUGAUUACAACUAUUCAAUAUUCACUUUAAAUAAACUUUUAUUACAACAAUUCAAUAUUCAUUUUAAAUAAACUUUUAUAAUAAAUAAAAAUUAAAAUGCAAAAAAAAUAUAAUGUAUAAAUUAAGAUCAAAUGUAUAAAUUAUUUGGAAUAUUAGAAAAGUUAUUUUAACAUCAUUAAUCUGUCAUAUUCUUUUAAUAAUAAUAAAAUCUAUUUGACAUAUUAAUAAUGUUAAAAUAACUAUACCUAAUAUUCAUAGUUAUUUAUAAAUUGUAUAUUAUUCGAUUGACUAUGUCUUUUUUAAUUGUCUAUCAGUAUAAUAUAUUAAAAUCAAUUUUUGGAUUAAUAUAUUUUAGUAUUAAUAAAUUCCAUCAGGAUAGUCUAAUAACAACUUAAUAUUUAAGAUAAUUCAUUAUAUAGGCAAUUUUAUUAAAUACACUUAUUGUAAUUUUUUAUUUAUAUCAUAUGAUAUAUAUUUUUUAUUUUUAUCUUAUUAUUGUAUUUAUAUUAAUUCGGGUUGUUAUAAUCAAAGGGUAUAAUAAUCAUUUAUGAAAUUAAGGUGUCUAUCUGACCAUUUAUGAAAUGAAAGGGGGUUUAUGUGACCACUUAACAAAACCUUAGGGUUGUGGGUGACCUUUUCCCAUUCCAUUAUGCAGGAAACUACGAUUCUGGUUACUUCUUUCCAAAUUAUGAAUUUCAAAUUCAAAUGCAUGUUGAAUUGCUGAAUAAGAUAUAAGUAUGGCAAAAUUUCCCGAUAGUAAUACUCAAUAUAGAAUUAAUUUUUAGUUAAUAAUAAAAAAAUUUAAUUUCAGUUUAGGCCAGUUAUAAAUAAGAAUAAACUCCAUAUUAUAAUAAAUUAUAGUUUUUUAAUCCAAUUUUAAGAAUUUUUAGAUCUCAUUUUACAAACUUGCCUCCACAUAGUAAUAAUUAUUAGUGUAGCGUAAAAAUAUAUGUUAUGUUAUAUUGAAGGAACUUACUUCCAGAUAGUACAACUACACAAUGAGAGAUAAUUAAUGAAGAGAAUGCAAAUAAUUAGAGACUUUUAAGAUGACUUUAAUAUUCCUAAUAAUAGUGCAUAGAUACAUUGAACUAAUUUUUUGAUAUAUUGGGAUUUGAUAUGCUCCAUUAAUAAAUUAUUAAUGUAUUAUAUACUUUAACUCUAUAUUCUUGCACUAAGGAUAAAUAAGUUAAAACAAUAAUUUUCGUAACUACUCAUCUAUUAAGUUAUAAUCUCUUCAUUGCAAUUAACUAAUUUGGUCCUAAUAUUAUAACUAUAGAGAGAUAUUGCUAUAUUGAGAUUGAUUGAUAGAGCACACCAGCCUUGUCAACAAAAUUUCGUCAAUGUCCCUAUAUGGUACCAUUUCACACACAUCAAUAAUUUUACAUUGUAAAAAUAUGGAGCCACUAAUCAUGUAAAGAUUGUCAUUUUUCCCCCCAGACCAUUAUUGGCCAUCUAUUUUGUUAUUUUAUUAUUGUUUUUACAAUAACCUCUGAGCCAAUUUUUUAAAGGAAAUUGGUGGGCUCAAAAUUCAAAUAGCCCCACCAUUAUUAAAUUAACUUAAAAUCGUUUCCGUAGAAAGUAGGGUAUUAUUGAAAUUGGUUGUGCGAAAGAUAUUUACGUGGCCCACGAUCAAAUAGAUGUAAAUAAAGUUAACGUUAUCUGCAAGAGUGUAUUGGCAUUGUUCAUAAAAAUUGCAAUUCAUUAUAAAUAGCAAUGCCAUUGAUAACAUUCUUUCACAUUUUCUUUAUUACUGCAUAUAGCAAUGAAACCGAACAUGAGCGGUGUCCUUGUUUUUGCCUUAUUUCUCUUUGAAAUACUUGCCAUAGCAACCAUUAGCAUUAGCUUCUGCAACGGAAGUUCUUAUCACGGGGGUUGCCUUGAAAGUGAGAGAGGAGCACUUUUAAGGCUCAAGCGAGAUCUUAAAGACCCUUCUAACAGGCUUGCUUCUUGGACUGGCAGCGGAGAUUGUUGUGCAUGGACUGGUGUUGUCUGUGACAACAUGACCGGCCAUGUGCUUCACCUCGACCUUCGAAAUCCUUUCAAUUAUUCCAAGGAGUCUGAAUAUGACGCUAUUCGGGGGACAGCGCUUGUUGGUAAGAUAAAUCCUUCUUUGCUUGAUUUAAAGCAUUUGAGUUACCUGGACUUGAGCUUCAAUGAUUUCCAAGGUGAUCAAAUUCCUAGAUUUGUUGGCUCCAUGGGAAAUCUACGGUAUCUCAAUUUUUCUGGAACUCGAAUCGGCGGAAUGAUACCUCAACAACUUGGAAAUCUCUCCAAUCUGCAGUUUCUUGACCUUAGUUCAAAUUAUUUAUUGUACGUUGACAAUAUUUUGUGGCUCUCUGGUCUUUCUGUCCUGGAACACCUCGAUUUGCGUUCUGUGAAUCUUAGCAAAGCCUUUGAUUGGCUGAUGGUAGCAAACAAACUCCCUUCUUUGGUAGAAUUAAGAUUGUCAAAUUGCCAACUCCAAUUCUCUCCAUUAGCCACCGCAAAUUUUUCGUCUCUCACAGUACUUGACCUUUCCCACAACCAAUUUGAUAACUCGUUCAUUCCUAGUUGGGUUUUUGGUCUAAGUCAUUUGCUCUUUCUUGACCUAGGUUUUAAUAAUUUUCAAGGUCCAAUUCCUGGGAGACUUCAAAACCUAACUUCCCUUAAACAUCUAGGUUUAGAUUCCAACUACUUCAACUCUUCAAUUCCCAACUGGUUGUAUAGAUUCAUCCAUCUUGAGUACCUUAGUCUUCGCAACAAUAAAUUGCAAGGUACAAUUGACUCAGAGGCUCUUGGAAACUUGACUUCCAUCAGUCGGCUCGAUCUCUCAUUAAAUACUGAUCUUGCAGGGAGAAUUCCAAGAUCCAUGGCAAGUCUUUGUAAUUUAAAGUCAAUCAAUCUUCGGGGUGUCCAUGUGAGCCAAGAAAUUUCUGAGAUUUUAGAUAUUUUCUCGGGAUGUGUUUCUAAUGGACUAGAGAGUUUAGAUAUGCGGAGUAGUUCAAUAUAUGGUCAUUUGACUGAUCAGCUUGGCCAAUUUAGAAAUCUCGUCACUCUUAAUCUUGCUAAUAAUUCAAUUGUUGGUCCUAUUCCAGAGUCAUUUGGUCAACUCUCAACCUUGAGAGAACUACAGAUAUAAGAUAAUAAGUUAAACGGAACACUUUCUGAACUUCACUUUGCCAAUCUGACAGAACUGUCAUGGUUCAGAGUAGGUGGAAACCAAUUGACGUUGGAAGUGAACCAUGAUUGGAUUCCUCCUUUCCAACUUGUUGCAUUAGGAUUGCAUAGUUGUUAUAUAGGGUCUCAAUUUCCUCUAUGGCUUAAUUCACAAAAGCAUUUACAGUUUCUAGUUUUAGUCAACUCAAGAAUUUCAGAUAUUUUUCCCAUUAGAUUUUUUAAAUCUGCUUCCCAAUUAAAGAUUUUAGAUCUCGAAAAAAACCAAAUUCACGGGGAGAUGCCAAAUCUAACCGAGUUUACUCAACUUUCGUUUCUUUCCGUGGAUUCGAAUAAUAUGUCUGGUCCAUUACCCCUCAUAUCAUCCAAUCUCGUUUACCUUGGCCUUUCAUAUAACUCAUUCCCCGGGUCAAUUUCUCAUUUCUUGUGUGACAAAAUCAACGAGACAAAGAGAUUAGAAGCUCUUAAGCUGAAUGAUAAUUAUUUACAAGGAGAAUUACCUGAUUGUUGGGUGAGUUAUCAAAAUUUGAAGAUACUUAAACUAAGCAACAACAAAUUCACUGGUAAUCUUCCAAACUCAUUUGGUAGUUUAGCUUCUCUUGUUUGGUUGGAUCUUGGUAAAAACAGACUGUCUGGGACAAUACCUGUUUCUCUUAAAAAUUGUACAGCAUUAGAGUCACUUGAUGUUGGUGAAAACGAGUUUGUUGGCAAUAUUCCAGCAUGGUUUGGAGAAAGAUUUUCAAGUAUGGUUGUUCUCAACCUUCGUUCCAAUAAGUUUCAUGGCCCUUUACCCACAAGAUUAUGUGAUCUAGCUAUUCUUCAAAUCUUAGACAUCGCGGACAACAAUCUCUCCGGAGCCAUACCAAAUUGCAUUAAUAAUCUCACUGGCAUGGUGACAGCGAACUCUUUUUCACGCAGUGCUUAGCAACAUCUACCUAUUCCUCUGGACGUGGAUGUGAUUCUUACGGAGAAGGCAUCAGUUGUGAGGAGAGGGGAAGUGGUUGAAUAUGAUGAGAUUCUCAAUUUUGUAACGGUGACAGCUGUUUCCUGGAAUGACUUACCGAAAAAAGUUCCUUUGGAAGUGAGAAAUCUUAAAGCAAUGCAGUCAUUAAAUUUUUCGCACAACACUUUCACAGGAAGAAUUCCUGAAAGUAUUGGUGUUAUGAGAUCAUUGGAGUCUGUUGAUUUUUCUGUAAACCAACUUUCGGGUGAAAUUCCACAGAGCAUGUCAAAUUUGAUGUCCUUGAAUUAUUUGAACUUGUCCAACAACAAGUUGACUAGGAAAAUUCCUUCAAGCACUCAACUCCAGAGCUUCGAUGCAUCUAGUUUCGCUGGCAAUGAUCUCUGUGGAGCUCCUCUUCCAAAGAAUUGUACUGAGAAUGUUUCAAAUUCAGAAGAUGAAAAUGGAGAUGAAGACGAAGAUGAAUUGGACCAUUGGUUUUAUGUAAGCAUUGCACUUGGCUUUGUGGUAGGAAUUUGGUGUUUUAUGGGCCCUUUGAUUUUCAAUAGAAGAUGGAGGUACAAAUAUUGUCGUUUCCUAAAUCGCCUUGAGGAGAGAGUUGUUGGUGUUGUAAGAAAACGUGGCUAGAUGUUCUCUGUUUUUGAGUUGUUCUGCUUCUUCAUGUACUGUGCUCACUGAAAGGAAUAGAAUAUUAUUUAAAAUAAACGAAUGGCCUUUGAUUUGUUUGUGCCUGUAAGGGAAAAUUAAUGUGAAAUUAUUUUGAAAUAAAGCGAUGAUAUUCAUAUUCAAAAUCAUAUAUAGGAGACCUUCCCAACUCAACAAAAUUAGUACUGAUAAAUCAAAAUUCAAAAAAUAUAUUUUAUGGACAGUUCACCAUGUAUAGGCUCAAUGAUUUUUAUACUAAAAAAGAUCAUAAAUCACAACAUUGGUAUCAAAAUGUUAAGAUCUUGAAAAAAUAAAUGGAAAAGCUUCUUAGAUUAACAAGCAGCACUGCAACAGGGCAGUGGGCUCAACUAUUCUCUAUUAUGCAAUCUUGACCCAUACUUCUCUCUUUUUUCACAUUUUAUCUAUGGAAUAUUUUCAAUGCAACAUUGAGUUUCACAACUAUUCAUGUGAAGACUAAUUGAAAAAAAAAAAUCCACCCUCCUCCUUAAAAGCAAAUAAAUAAAUAAAACUUAGUCUUGGUUUAUUUCAUUAAAUAAAGUUAGUCAAUAACAUGUCAUGAGAUAUAUGGGUAGUUGUCCAUUUACUAUAACAAUCGAUUGGGUUAAAGUCGUCAAAUCUGAAUAUCGUUAUCCACCAACUUAAAAGUCGUUUGCGUGGAAAGGAGGUGAAUCCUAAUCCAAUUAACAGUAGGAUAAUGUUGAAUUGGAUUAUGCGGAAGAAUUAUAAGGUCACAAGUUAAGUUCAUUAAUUUGAAAGAGAGAAAUGGCCUUAUAAAUAGCAAGGUUGUUGGUAACACAAAUUCAAAUAGACAUUGAUUCUGAUUAAACCAAAGAUGAGUGUUGUUCUCGUUUUUGCCUUGUUUCUCUUUGAAUUACUUGUCAUUAGCAUUAGCUUCUGCAAUGGAAGCUCUGAUCAUAUGGGUUACCUUGAAAGUGAGAGAGGCACUCUUAAGAUUCAAGCAAGAUCUCCAAGACCCUUCCAAUCGGCUUGCUUCUUGGAAUAUUGGUGGAGACUGUUGUACAUGGGCCGGCAUUGUCUGUGAUAACGUGACAGGCCAUAUCAUUGAGCUUAAUCUUCGAAAUCCUUUCACUUACUACCAUCGGUCUCAGUAUAAAGCUAAUCCAAGGUCAAUGUUGGUUGGUAAGGUAAAUCCUUCUUUGCUUGAUUUAAAUCAUUUGAGUUAUUUGGACUUGAGCGUUAAUGAUUUCCAAGGGGUUCAAAUUCCUAGAUUUAUUGGUUCUAUGCGGAAUCUAAGGUAUCUCAAUCUCUCUGAUACUCAAUUUGUAGGAAUGAUACCUCCCCCGCUUGGAAAUCUCUCCAAUCUAAAGAGUCUUGACCUUAGUUUGAAUUAUUUAUACGUUGAGAAUUUUUUGUGGCUCUCUGGCCUUUCAUUUCUGGAACAACUCGAUUUGUGUUAUGUGAAUCUCAGCAAAGCCUCUGACUGGCUGCUUGUAGCAAACACACUCCCUUCGUUGGUAGAAUUGAGAUUGUCAAAUUGCCAACUCCAUCACUUACCUCCGUUAGCCAUCUCAAAAUUUUCAUCUCUCACCAUCCUCGACCUUUCCUUCAACCAAUUCGAUAACUCGUUAAUUCCUGGUUGGGUUUCUAGUCUCAGUCAUCUAGUCUUUCUUAGUUUCUAAUAAUUUUCAGGGUCCAAUCCCCAGCUGGUUGUAUAGACUUACCCAUCUUGAACACUUAGUAUUGCAGACCGCCCAAGUCGCUAGCCCAAUUGCCCACAAUUUUGGGCUAGAGAGAUAAGGCCAAGAGUGCUAGCUUAGCCUGAUUCCGGAAAUUUCUAAGCAACUCUAGCACAUUUGAGCUUGUAUAUAUCUAGAAUUUUCUACACAACUCUAGCACAUAUAAAUAUCCAGAAUUCUAGGCAAGUGGUAGAAUUCUCUAGAAUUGUAGAGUAUGGCAAGCCUCCCCUAUAAAUAGGGCAUGGCAUUUGGCAUUUGAGCAAUAAGCUUAAAGUAAGCAACUCAAGCAUUCUUGUAAGCUCUCUUGUAAGCACUCUUUGAGUAAUACAAUUUCUCUUGUUCGGCUCCAUUGCUCGCUUCUCUCUAUCUCUUCGAAAACCUCUAAGCUUAACUAGUCGAGAAGUUCAAGACUUACUUAGCAACAUUCGGCAAAAGUUGUCUAAGUGCCACAUGGGUUCGUUGCGCAAAACACUCAACCCGUGACAAGUGGUAUCAGAGCUAAGGUUUGCACCCACGCAAGUUAGCUCACGAGUAAUGGCGAACCCUCCAAAUCCAGUGCAAGAGGGCGUUGUUGGUGUGGAAGCCCAACCGGAUCCAAGCCACAAUCGUGAAGAAUGACGCACCCAAGGCAAGAGUGGACGGUCUUGAGGGAGAAUAUGCCGAAUUCACAGUGGCAACAAAGGCCCUCAUCCAAGACCAAGCAAACACUCUCCGAGGUUAGUUUCGAUCCUUCCAUGAUGAAUUGCUAAAACUUUGCAGCUUUAUUCAAGAUGAAGUACGCGCUGUCCGUGCGGAAGUGGAGGAAGUCUGCUCGAACUGGGCAUGGCACAAGCGUACACUCUUCGCUAGUCCAACUUCGGCAAGUACGAGUGAUGCGCGAUGCAUUGACGUGCUAAAGCCCGACACCUACAAUGGCAUACGCAAUGCCACUAUUGUUGACAAUUUCCUCUUCGGGCUAGAUCAAUACUUAGAUGCCAUGGGUGCGAGAGACGAGGCAUCGAAAGUGGGCACAACACCUACUUAUCUUCGAGGCGCUGCACAACUAUGGUGGCGUCGAAAGCAUGGCAAGAUGGGUAAAGGCAUUUGCACUAUUGAGACUUGGGCUAACUGAUAACUCUAUGAAAUGAGAGUUAUCGUGGCACUUUUAGACUUAAAUCAAUACUACUUAGAGAGUAAAUUAUGUGUUUCUAUUGCAUUUUUGUUACAUUUUGCAUAAACAAUCAUUUUAGUCAAUCUUAAUAAGUUUUGCUCGAUUUAAAGUAAUUUGUGCUUAAAUUGUGUGCAUAAUUGUAGGUUUCCAGAAGCUUAUAAUUCAUGGAAGGAAUGCUAUGCAAUAGGCUUGCAAAAAUAAGGAAAGAACAUGGCUACAAAAGAGUUUAAACAAAUCUGGAACAGUGCAGUUGCUGUAGAUAUUGCUGUAGCAACCAUUGCUGUAGUCGUUGCUGUAGCAAUCCUGGAACAACGACAGAGAAAAUUCUGUGCGAGAUAAUUGCAGAAUCGCGAUCUGUAGUUUCCUAAUCUGACUUAUAUGCGCCCUAGGCUUCCGUUUACCCUAAUUUUCAGUUAUAAAAGAAGCACACAUCAUAAGGAAUAGAGGGAGCCGUCACUCAAGGAGAAAACACAAAGAAACAAAAGAAAAACAAGAUUCAAGAGAGAGAUUGAAGGCUACACAAGAGGAAAAAUUGCAGAGAUCAAUUGGGAGCUCAAUCAUUCUUAUCCUUCUCUUGUUUUCGUGUUUUCUAUUUAUUCAUGGGGAUGUGUUUCAUGACUGAAACUUUGUUCUUUAUUUUUCUUUGCAAACCAUGAACUAAAUUUAUUUGUGGUUGAGUGAAAAACAAUCUUGAUGGUUUAUUGACUGAAUAUAUGUGUUGCUACAUGUUUGCUGUAGCAGUUUGUUUUGAUAGUAUUUAUUUUUAUUCAUUAUUUCGGUUGAUCACCCAUUUAAUGAUACAAGUUAGGAGAGAGCCGUAAAAGGGCCUAUCUUAGUGGAACAUAUCAGAGCAAUACUUGGUUUUAGAUUGAGUUUCCUGGAUUGAGUUUAACUUAUUCCAAAAGAGCAAUGCUUAAUCUAAAAUUAGUAAUGAACUAGACAUAGGGAUUCACCUUGUAGGGUAAAUAGAACCUAAGCGUGUAAUGUUAUAUCUUAUAUUGGCAUAACAACUGAUCACUGUUAGGUUACAUAUAGAUAUAAGAUAUCCAACAUGCGACGGCUGAGGAUACAUAAGGAUUCUGCCCAGUGCUGUAGCAAAUACUGCAGCAACCGACCCAACCAUUAGAAAAUAGUCAAGACCAUUAGGAGAGUUUAUUCACUCAACUACUAUAUAUUCCCAUUAAUUUUAUCCUUGAGCUUGACGUGAUAGUUUGCUUUGUUGCAUUUAUUUAUUUCGUUUUUAUUUUAAUUAGUACAUUAGUUUCAUUAAUUGUUUAUUUUAUUUUAGCACAAAAUCUGCACUGUUAAGAUUGCUGUAGCAAAUCUGAUAACAUCAAUCCCUGUGGAGACGAUCUUGAAUACUCAUCACUUUAUUACUUGUUGUGUACACUUGCACAUUGACACCAAUAGCAUUAGUAUUUAUACACCAACAAGUUUUUGGCGACGUUGCAGGGGAUUGAUUGUUCAUUGUGAUUUGUGAAAUUAGUUUUAACGGUGCUAAUUUUUUAUUUUAUUUUAAUUUGUUUAUUUUGUUGACAUAGGUGAUCUAGCAACCCUUGCAUGCGCAAAUAUAAAUCUGUUGACUUCUAGUUUGAUCCAGAAAUUGAAAGAACUGCAAGGAGAUUGAGAAGAGAGCAUCGGGAAUUACAAGCUGCUGUAGCAAUGGAUGAUUUGCAAGAUUUGAGAAACUUGAACCAUAGAGAGGGGAUACAACCAGUCAAUGUACAUGAAGGUCUGAAUGGACAAUGUGUUCAAAGGAAACCAGGGAACAACAACAUUAUUCACAUGGCGAACGAUAGAGAUAAAGCCAUUCGAGACUACGCAGUGUUGACUCCUCAAGCCAUACAUCCGGGAAUAGUUAGACCCGAUGUUCAAGCUAACAAUUUUGAGCUCAAACCAGUGAUGUUUCAGAUGCUACAAACAGUGGGACAAUUUAAUGGACUGCCAUCAAAAGAUCUUCAUCCACAUCUUAAGCUAUUUUUGGAAGUGAGUGAUGCUUUCAAGAUUGCUGGAGCAUCGCAGGAAGCAUUGAGACUCAGACUUUUCUCGUUUUCUUUGAGAGAUCGAGCAAGAGCAUGGUUGAAUUCUCUACCACCAGAUUCUAUCACUACAUGGAGUGACUUGGCUGACAAAUUUUUGUUGAAAUACUUCCCGCCAACCAAGAAUGCAAAGUUGAGGAACGAGAUCACAUCUUUCCAUCAACUUGAAGAUGAGAGCUUGUGUGAUGCAUGGGAGAGAUUUAAGGAGUUACUCAGGAGAUGUCCUCAUCAUGGUAUUCCUUGCUGCAUACAGUUGGAAACUUUAUAUAAUGGUCUCAACCAAAGCACUAGAUUGAUAGUGGACGCUUCAGCAAAUGGGGCCUUGUUAUUUAAGUCUUACAAUGAGGCUUAUGAAAUUUUGGAGAGGAUAGCCAACAAUAACUAUCAGUGGCCAUCAACCAGACAAGCUGCAACAAGAGGAACAGCAGGAGUUCAUAACGUAGAUGCCUUGACAGCAUUGUCAGCCCAAGUAACUUCAUUAACAAAGAUGGUAAAGGCUAUGACUACUGCUCCAGCAACUGUUAACCAAAUAUCUGAUAUGUCUUGCGUUUAUUGUGGAGAAGGGCAUUUAUUUGACAAUUGUCCUGGUAAUCCAGCUUCGGUUAACUAUAUGGGCAGCUUCAAUAGACAGAACUAGGACAAUCCAUAUUCAAACACUCACAACCCUAGAUGAAGACAGCCAAACUUUUCAUAGAGUUAUCAGAACCAGACUGCUGCAGCACCUAGUGGACAGAACAGACCUGCUCAACCACCUGGAUUUUAUCAACAAAAUCAAGAGCAAAUAAGCAUAAACAAUGAUCAACUCAGCUCCCUUGAAGGUUUGAUUAAGGAUUAUAUUGUGAGGAAUGAAGCAGUUGUCCAAAGUCAUACUGUAUCGUUGAGAAACUUAGAAAAUCAAAUUGGACAGCUUGCUGCAGCAUUAAGUAACAGACCUCAAGGUAGUUUACCCAGUAACACAGAGAACCCAAGAAGAGAAGGGAAAGAGCACUGCAAAGUGAUAGACUUGAGAUCUGGAAAGGAGGUUGAUAGUUCAGUUGGUAUACCGAACAGAAGAAUUGAGUCCAAUCAAGGCCAAGAAGACACUCAAGUAGAGAAGAAGUCACAGUCUUCCACUUUUCAGAAUGCAAAUCAAUACAGUUCUGCUAUAGCAUCUGCAGAAAGUUAUAAUCCAGCACCUGGUGGUGAGGAAGCUACAACACCAACAGCAACAGACCUGAGUAGAGCAAAAGAGAAGCAACCUGCACAACCUGCUGCAGCACAACAAUUUAGACACCCACCACCCUUCUCUCAAAGAUUUCAGAAGCAACAACAAGACAAGCAGUUCAACAAAAUCUUAGGAGUACUGAAACAGCUGCAUAUCAAUAUCCAUUUUAUGGAAGUUCUAGAGCAAAUGCUAAACUAUGCGAAAUUUUUGAAGGAUAUUUUGACAAAGAAAAGAAGACUUAGAGAGUUUGAAACAGUUGCUUUAACACAAGAGAGCAGCCGAAUGCUUCAGAGUAAGAUACCACAGAAGAUGAAGGAUCCGUGAAGCUUCACAAUCCCAUGCUCCAUAGGCACUAAAUACAGUGGCAAAGCACUUUGUGAUUUGGGACUAGCAUCAAUCUCAUGCCUUUAUCAAUGUUUAAACAAUUGGGAGUUGGUGAAUGUAGACCAACAACAGUGUCUUUACAACUUGCUGACAGAUCUCAUGCAUAUCCAGAAGGGGAGAUUAAAGAUGUGUUGGUGAAGGUGGAUAAAUUUAUUUUUCCAGUGGAUUUUAUUGUGCUAGACUUUGAGGCAGACAAAGAAGUGCCAAUCAUUCUAGGACGACCUUUCUUAGCCACGGGAAAAACUCUAAUUGAUGUUAAAAAAGGAGAAUUAACCAUGAGGGUGAAUGACCAGCAAGUUACAUUCAAUGUGCUGGAUGUCAUGAAAAGUCCUGAUGAGAUUGAAGAUUGUAAUUUUAUCAAUGUUGUGGACUUUAUUAUAGUAGAAAGAUUACACAGUUGCUGCAGUAAGGAAGAAAUCAAUGUUGUAACAUUUGAAGAACUUGAUAAUGAAGAUCGUGGAGCAGCUAACAUAGCAUUGUCAGGGGAGAAGCGACCUUUCAGAAUGGACGAGCAAAUCCAGCAAAGGGAACUCACUCCAGACCAACAUGAAUUCAAGGUUAAUGGGCCAAGAGUGAAGCACUAUAUGGGAGAUGAUGUGAACAACCUAAGGAAGGAUCUGUUCUUGAAGGAUCCAGGUUGAAGAAACAAGAAAGGUCAGGCUGAAAGACCUAAAAUCAAGCGCUAAUUGGGAGGCAACCCAAUAAGGGAAGUUGUUUCAAGUUUUUAUGGCAUUGAAUUUAGCUUUUAAAUUAUUUAAUUUGUCUUUUUGUUAUUUUAAGUGUGCAUCUAAUUUUUUUAUGUCUUUAUGUUACAUUGCAGCAAGUAAAAAAAAAAUGUGGGCAAAAAGAGCAGGAGGAAAUUGCUGCAGCAUCACUUACAGCAUGACAUAUAACAGAAGAUUCUCAAACAACAGAGGCACUUCUUGCUUUUGCAGCAGCAAAUGGAUUGAUCAGAUUUUAUGAGAAGGAGCGUUUAAGAAGUAUAUCAAAGAAGAAGUGACCCUUUUACAGCCUAUGCUGUAGCAGUGCUUCCAGCAACAGGGCAGUACCCCUAACCGCUAGUUUAUUUUACUUCUUGCUGCAAAACUUUUCUUUCAUUUAGUUUUAAUUUUCUAAUUUAUUUUGCAUGUCCUUUUAUUUAGUGUAUGCAUGUCUGGUUUAUGUGGUUUUGUUUUGUGUGCUUGUGAGGACACAACAUCACUUAAGUUUGGGGGGGUUGUGUUUCUGAGUGCAUGUGUUGAUGCUUGUGUUGUGUGAAGCUCUGUUAUCUAAUAUUUGUGUAUGGAUUUGAAAACAUAAUGAAGAUAAAUUGAGUGUUAUUCAGUAUUUAUGAAAAAGCCAAGUAGAGAUAGUUAUAGAUGGAGGUUGAACUUCUGUCCCGACAGUUAGACUUUGGUUGAGUUUUAUGAGAAUGUUGUAGCAGAGCCAGGAAAACCAAAAAAAAAAAGAGUAGAAAAUAUCUCAAGUUUGGGGGAAAAAUUUUUGUUGGACUGUGCCUGUUAUGAAAUAAAUUCUGCUCCAAUAGUUUAAGUUGCUGAGUAACCAGGGUUGAGUAUGCACCCCAUAUGCAAACUUGAGUCCAAAGGCAACACGAGCUACGAGCAGCGCUGCAGCAAUUAUAAAAAAAAGAGAAAAAAAUAAGAAGAAAAGCAAAAAAAAAAUGGUGAUAAAGAGGUCCGUUACCUAGGAUACUGAGUAACCUGGUAUGUUCAUGAGCCCCAUGUUCAGCCUUGAGUCAAAGGCGUCCAAAGGUAUGACUUACAUGUAACAUCCUGAAUGCGUUGCUGUAGCAACUCUGACAUGUACUUUGAAUGAGUAAUUGGGUGUCGUCAUUACAAGUGAUAGGCAUUCACAUGAAAGCUCAAUGUUGCAUUGAAGGGUUUAACAAAAAAAAAGUAUUAUUAUUGUAGCACAAUUUGAGUUUAUGUGUGAAUUCUACUCCCCCAUAUGUGAAUAUAUUUGUGUUCUAUCUCUGAAUUAUAUGUCUGUGCAAUGCUGUAGCACCUCUGGAAUUUGAUCAAAGUGGCACACACACACUCUGGACAGAAUGAAGCCUAAAUCUAGAACUAAACUACUAUGACUAUUUUGCGUGAUUAAGAAUGUGAUAUGAGGGUUGAAGAAUCCUUACAGAUUUGAUGACAGAGCUAAGUUAUUUAUUGAAUGAUUGUGUGAUUGAAGUGUUAGUGUUAUUGUCAUUACUUGAGGGCAAGUAAUGGUUUAAGUUUGGGGGUGUGAUAACUCUAUGAUAUGAGAGUUAUCAUGGCACUUUUAGACUUAAAUCAAUACUACUUAGAGAGUAAAUUAUGUGUUUCUAUUUCAUUUUUGUUAUAUUUUGCAUAAAUAAUCAUUCUAGUCAAUCUUAAUAAGUUUUGCUUGAUUUAAAGUAAUUUGUGCUCAAAUUGUGUGCAUAAUUGUAGGUUUCCAGAAGCUUAUAAUUCAUGGAAGGAAUGUUAUGCAAUAGGCUUGCAAAAAUAAGGAAAGAACAUGGCUACAAAAGAGUUUAAACAAAUCUGGAACAGUGCAGUUGCUGUAGAUAUUGUUGUAGCAACCAUUGCUGUAGCAAUCCUGGAACAACGACAGAGAAAAUUCCACACGGGAUACUUGCAGAAUUACGAUCUACAGUUUCGUAAUCUGACUUAUGCGCGACCUAGGCUUCCGUUUACCCUAAUUUUCAACUAUAAAAGAAGCACACAUCAUAAGGAAAAGAGGGGGCCGUCACCCAAGCAGAAAAACACAAAGAAACAAAAGAAAAACAAGAUUCAAGAGAGAGAUUGAAAGCUACACAAGAGGAAAAAUUGCAGAGAUCAAUUGGGAGCUCAAUCCUUCUUAUCCUUCUCUUAUUUUCGUGUUUUCUAUUUAUUCAUGGGGAUGUGUUUCAUGGCUGAAACUUUGUUCUUUAUUUUUCUUUUGCAAACCAUGAACUAAAUUUAUUUGUGGUUGAGCGAUAAACAAUCUUGAUGGUUUAUUGACUGAAUUUAUGUAUUGCUGCAUGUUUGCUGUAGCAGUUUGUUUUGAUAGUAUUUAUUUUUAUUCAUUAUUUCGGUUGAUCACCCAUUUAAUGAUACAAGUUAGGAGAGAGCCGCAAAAUGACCUAUCUUAGUGGAACAUAUCAGAGCAAUACUUGGUUUUAGAUUGGGUUUCCUGGAUUGAGUUUAACUUAUCCCAAAAGGGUCAUGCUUAAUCUAAAAUUAGUGAUGAACUAGACAUAGUGAUUCACCUUGUAGGGUAAAUAGAACCUAAGUGUGUAAUGUUAUAUCUUAUGUUGGCAUAACAAUUGAUCACUGUUAGGUUACAUAUAGAUAUAAGAUAUCCAACAUGCGACGGCUAAGGAUGCAUAAAGAUUUUGCCCAGUGUUGUAGUAGUUACUGCAGCAACCGAGCCAACCAUUAAAAAAUAGUCAAGACCAUUAAGAGAGUUUAUUCACUCAACUACUUUAUAUUCCCAUUGAUUUUAUCCUUGAGAUUGACGUGAUAAUUUACUUUGUUGCAUUUUAUUUAUUGUGUUUUUAUUUUAAUUAGUAAAUUAGUUUCAUCAAUUGUUCAUCUUAAUUUAGACACAAAAUCUGCACUGUUAAGAUUGCUGUAGCAAGUCUAAUAACACCAAUCCCUGUGGAGACGAUAUUGAAUACUCAUCACUUUAUUACUUGUUGUGUACACUUGCACAUUGAUACCAAUAGCAUUAGUAUUUAUACACCAACACCAACUCUAUGAUUUUUAAUGAUUUUUAUAUAAAGCCAAAAAUUACGAACUUAAAUAUACAAAAACUAGACAUAUACAUGUACAAUAAUAAAAGUUCCUAGUGUUAACAUGUAUAUGUUCAUUAUAUUGAUUUUGAUGAUAACAAACUUUAAAUUUUUUGAUUAAAAUGUUGGAGUUUUCAUUAAUAAACAAAUUCUCAAAAGCCGUAUAAUCUUUCUAAAUGUGUUCAUGAAAUAUGGAUAAUCGUUAACUUCCAUCGGAAUAUCAUUUCCUGUGAAAUUUGGUUAAAACUGUGAUUCGGAAGUAAACGGUGAAUCGUUAAAUUUGAAAUGGUUAACCGAUAAUUUCAUAGAGGAAUAAAUCCUUAAGCUUGAACCGGUUAGCAAAAAUGGAUAAGGCAAAUGAGUUUUACAGGUUACUGGAAUUAAAACGGCGAACCGUUAACUUCAAACGGCUAACCGAUAAUUUCUAGAAUGCCAUUCCAUGCUAACCUUCAACCAUUUAGCAAGAACGGAUAGUAGAAAUUUGUUUUGCAGGUCUCUGGAAAUUAACGACAAACCGAUAGUGGAAAACGGUCAACUGUUACUUGAAAUUUAGGUCAACGGUCACUUGGACCAGUCAAAACGGUUAACCGAUAACGGUUAACGGCGAUCCGAUUUCGGACAGAAAGUCAACAACGGCUAUUUUUCAGCUCCAACUGUAAAUAAGCUCAAUCAAAUUCAAACAAGGGUUGAUCGCAACGUUAUCAUUUAGUUUAUAAUCGAGAAUACAACAUUCAUUGAGCUUUAAAUUUAUUCUUAUUUCAUUUAUUCACACAUUGAGCAUUGAUUUGUAAUCUUAUAUAUUGUGUGAGAGAAAAACAAAUUUGUAAUCUUUGUUGUGAGUGAUUGUAAGUGUUGGGAUACACUUGUAUUAAGAGAUUGUGGAUAAUCUCUUGGUGUAAAGGUUGAUUGACACUUUUGAAGUCAAUUGUAAAUGUUCUUGAAGCCUUGAAGGUUUAACUAGCGGAAUCCUCAAGCUUGGUGUGCUUGGAGGUGUGGACGUAGGUAAGGUUGGCCGAACCACGUAAAAAUCUCUGUAUUUGAAUCUCUUUUCCCUUAUCUUUUUAUAUUUUGGUUGAUUUAUUCAUUAUUGCUUUAAAUUCGUUUAAGAUUUGCAUUAAGUUUUGUUUAAGAAUUGCAUAAUUUUUAGAAACCCAAUUCACCCCCCUCUUGGGUUGCUUGGAUAAUAUUUCACCUAGAACUUUCAAAAGUUGUUUGAGUUACCCAAUAAAUUAUAGAAAUGAGAACUCUUGCUGAAAAUCAAAAUUUUUUAGCACCAGUGUUCGAAUUUCAAAAAAAAUCAAAACAAUUAAUAUGCAAUGAGUUUAUGAAUGAUAAGCAUAUGGAUAGAAAAAUAAAAUGUCUAGUUUAGUAAACUAUAAAGUUUUACGGAUGAAACUUAAUGAAAGUAGUAGUCAUAUAACAUUGAAUGUAUACUAUUCAUAGUUUUCAGGAUAACAUAAUAGCACUACUUUCAUUAAAUAACAACAUAAAUCAAUACAUGAUCAUGCUUUCAAAAUUUUAUUAAUAUAACACACGCAAAAUUAUUCAAUCAAUCACAUAAAAUUAAAAAUAAAAACUAGAAGUUUAUAGGAUUAUAAAUUCUUACCUACCUUCAAAACAAAAUCAAAACUCACUAACUUCUUUUAUAGAAAAGAAAAAUACAAUCAAAAUCUUCUCCUCUUCUUGAAAAAAAAAUGAAUUUUCUCUUGUGUCUGCUGCUGCCCCCCCGCCCCUUUUUAUUAGUCUUUAGGGUUUUACGAAACAAAGUAACAUAAGAUGAGUUUUUGUAAAGCUGAGCCUUUUAAUACCCUUACCUAUUAAGGAAUUUAUUUUCUUUAAGGUACUUAAUAAAUUGGUAAAUCAAAUAAAUACAAAGAAAUAAACCCUUAAAAUCAUUGGCCUAAAAGACUAUAUUCUCUAAAAUAAUAAUGAUGAUGAUGAUGAUGAUGAUGAUGAUGAUGAUGAUAAUAAUAAUAAUAAUAAUAAAAAUAAAUAACGGGUGUUACAUUUUCAAAAUCAGAUUUUGAAAACCUAUUCAUUCCUCACUGUUCAAAAUCUGCUGCAGGAUGGGGUGAUUUUGCCAAAUGUGAUUUUUAAAAAAAUUUACCAAACAUUGAAAUUAGCUUUUAGAUUUUUAAAAUCACUUUUGAACUUCCCAGAAUCAAUCUCAAAUGGGCCCUGAAUGUCUUUAUGUGUUAUAUUGAUGAAAUUGUGAAAGCGUGAUCAUGUAUUGACUUUAUGUUGUCAUUGAGUGGAAAUUAUUAUUUUGCUUAUUUUGCUUAUUUUGCUUAUUUUGAAACUAUGAACACUGUGGAUUGGGUGCUAUGUAACUGCUGCUUUCAUUGAGUCUUAUGCAUGAAGCUUUAUAAUUUAUUAAACUAGAUAUCAUUAGCUUUUUAUUGAUAUAAUUAUUGUUUAAAAAUUCAAAAUAUAUUGGUUGUGAUGAUUUUUCAAAUUCAGAACACUAGUGCCAUAAAAUUUCAAUUUUCAACGGCAAUUCUCAAUUCUAUUUUUUAUUUUGAAACAUAAAUAACUUUUGAAAAUUAUAGGAAUUUUUUUUAUGGUACAUAUAUGUCUAUUUUAUGUACAUAUAAAUUUGUAAUUUUUAACCUUAUAGAAAAAUCAUUGAGUUGGGUUACUGCAAUCUUGGAAACUAUUCUCCAAAAUUACUAAGCUGAUAUCAAAGUCAGUAUGGGUUAAUUUUUCAUCAUUAAAUGCCUUGUAAAAUUUCCUAAUUCUUAUUGUUUCCUCUAAUUAUCAAAACUUGAAUUACUAUUUUUGGACGUGUGCAACUAAAAUUAUGAAUUUUUGAAUAAACGUACAUUUGUUGAUAUCACUACUAGAUAGUUUUGACAUUUUUCUAGAAAAUCAAUUUUUAGGGAUGUUUUGAACUCUGAUUAAUUUUAUAAAAUUUUUCAUCGAAUGCCACACAUGUUGACAAUUUCUAAUUGUAGUAUUUGUGUUUUUCUGACAUGUUUAUAACUCGUUAGAAAUUAGCUUGUGUAGGAUGGUCCCGUGUAGUUUAGUGAGUUGAUAAGUUUAUGUAAGUGUUAAUGGUCUAAAAAUGUUUAGGUUUCCGGUCAAGGUCAGAAUUGGUAAUGUUAUUUAUAAGAAUCUUGUCUUGAUAAUUAUAAACCAAGACUGAGCUCAUGUAAUUGAUGAUAUUGUUUGGUUGCUUUAGAUCAAGAUAAGGGUAUGAUAAAUUAGCGUAUGAAAAAUUAGCAUUCUAUGCAUAUGAAAAGAAUAUUAUUUAUAUGAUAAAUUAGCAUUCUAUGGUUUUAAUACUAUGAAAUACUUGUGAAAUAUUAUAUAUAUAUAUAGUCAAUUGACUUCUUUUAAAUUUGUACUUUUCCAAAACUAUUUUCUAAGUGGCUUUGAAAGAUACUUGAUUUUUUUUUUAUAAAUUGCUAAACUUAAAAAUAUUUGAAAAACUUUGCCAAUUGAAUGUCUCGUAAGAGUGUUUUAUUGAUAUAUUAUUGAAUGAUUGAUAUUGAAAAAUUGAAAACUCUAUUUAAGGUUUUGACUCAUUAUCCGUAGUUACUGUUACUAAUAUGAGUGAACAAUUAGCCGUAUAACCAUUGUGCGCACCUAUUGAUGAAUAUUGCGGGUAUAGUAUCUUGAUUGAUUAAUUGGCUGGGUCACCAAUAUUAUAGGUGAUAUAUCGAUUUCCUAGGUCGACAGAAGUACAAGUGACACUAAGUGGCAUGAAUAAUUGAAUAAAAUAAAAAUUUUAUUAUUAAAUAAUUUCUUAAAUGAUUAUAUAUUGAAAAUAAUUAUUACGUUAUGACUUAACUUAUUAUGAGUUUUAUUGUACUUUUACAAUAGAUUGUAAAAUGAUCAUUGUUUUCCAAUUUAUGGUUCUCUAUAAUGAUUAUGUGUUUUCUCGUUAUUAUAACCUUAUGCAUGAGUUUACUUACAAAGUUGAUAGCUCACCCGCCAUCUCCUACAUUUUGUAGAUUGAUUUGAGAGAUAUAAGCUUUUUUGGUUUAGAGGAGAGGAUUUAUUAGUUGAAAACUUUAAUUUUUUUUUUUGAUGAAAAAAUUGUAACUACUUUGGUUAUUGUUUAGAACUGAAUUAUUUUUUUUUGGGAGGAUUAUUGUUAUAUUUAUUGUUUUAGAGAUUUUAUUUUGCCUGUGGAUAAUAUUGUUUCUUUUGGAAAUAGUAAUAAAAUUAAUAUUACAAGGUUUUAUUCCAAAUUUCUCUUUUAAAUUCUUAGGUGAAUUUGGCGUGAUGUAGUCGUACUCUUAGCUCAUAACUAAUCCCAAGAUUUGGGAGAUAUUUUUCCUGGCACUAGAGUAUAAACAAAAAACAAAAUACUUGAAUAUGUAAAUACAUACAAGGACCACCGAUGAUUAAGUAAUUAUAAAUUAAGCUGUUGGCUGAGAACGUAUCAAUUACUCUUGACAAAUAAUUUCAUCGUAUAUCAAUCAAAGAAGACAACAAAUACCACCAUCAAUUCAUCAUUCACGCUUAGGGAAAGACAAAACGACAUUUUCAUCUAUGCAAAACAAAAAUAUUUGGAACACUUGAGAAGUUAUAAAGGAGAGUGCUGUGUCUAUUNNNNNNNNNNNNNNNNNNNNNNNNNNNNNNNNNNNNNNNNNNNNNNNNNNNNNNNNNNNNNNNNNNNNNNNNNNNNNNNNNNNNNNNNNNNNNNNNNNNNAAAUUUGAAAUGUGAUAAUCUUUUUUAAAUAAUCUUCCAAAAUCUAUUACCUUGAAGUAUAAAAUAUAAUGGUAGGUUAUUUAACACAAAUCAAAUAAAUAAGUUGCAAUUGCAAAAUUUAUAUAUGAUAUAAUAGUAAUAAAUAACACAACUAAGUACAUAUACUUAAGUAAAUGUCAUUGUAUAAUUGAUCAUGAAGUAUGUAUUAUUUUUAAUACCUAUUUAACAUACUUAUUCUCUGAACUUUAUAUUUAUCUUACAACUAAUAUCCUUUCAUGAUAGGAAUUUUAAGUUUUAUAAGCCGAUAUAUUUUCAUUUUAUUUUCAAAUAUCACUUUGUUAAUUUCAUAAAAGUUAAAUCUAAUAUAUAUUCCUAAUGAGCUUUAGUUUAUGAAUCGUGAAAGAUUAUUUUAUUGAUAUCCUUUGAUUGUAAUUAUAAAAUUUUAUGUUAUUAAGAGUCAUUACUUUUGUUAUGAUAAUUAAUAGUGACAAUAAAUAAAAUAUUACCUCCAAUAAUAUUUACGUGGGAAAAAAAGUGAAAGAAAAUCAUUUAUAUUUUUAGAUUUUUAUUGACAUGGUAGGAAAUUAUCUCAGCCUUAUAAAAUUUAACUUUCACAAGUUUGUUUUCAUUUUAUUUUCAAAUGUCACUUUGUUAAUUUCAUAAAAGUUAAAUCUAACACAUAUUCCUAAUUAACUUUAGUUUAUGAAUCAUGAAAGAUUAUUUUAUUAUUAUUCUUUGAUAGUAAUUAUAAAAUUUUUAUGCUACGAAGAAUCAUUACUUUUAUUAUGAUAAUUAAUAGUGACAAUAAAUAAAAUAUUACAUCAAAUAAUAUUUAAUGGACAAAAUGAGGAAAAACAAUCAUUGUAUGUUUUUAUAUUUCCAUUAUAAAGAUAUGGUUUGGGAUACUUUAACUUAAAAUUUUGGCACAAUAAUUGAGCCACUAAUAUCUCAUAGUCUAAUGGUUGAUAUUGAAAGUCAAAGCAUCAUUUCAUAAUGUUAUAUCCUCCACCAUUGAAUUGCAUGAAAUAAAUAGUUUAAUUUUUUGAUAAAAAUUUAAAUCAAAAUAUUUCUCACUCUAUAGUUAUAUAAACAUAUAUAUUUUUCAAUAAUAAUUGGUGAAUAAAAUAUUUCUUAUUUGUUGUGACUCAUAUAGUAUUAUUAAUAAAACACAUAUAAAAUAGUUUAUUGCAAUGCUUUCUAUUAUCAUUAUUGUUUAGGUAUUAAUGGUUUGUAAUUAAAUUCAUACAAUACAAAUUAUUACAAGAUUUUGUGUUAAAUAACAUACUUGAUAUUAUAUUUUAUACUUAAUGGUAACUGAUUUUGGAAGAUUUAUUUAAAAGAAAUUAUCAUAUUACAAAUUUAAAGGAGGGCUGAAAAGUAAUUUUAAAUAAAAUAUACUAUUUAAGUGAAAUUGUUUCAAACUCUAAGGGUGGUCACAAUUAUUUUACAAAAAUUAUCUACCCACUUGAACGGUUACCAUUAUUUUUAAAUUAUUUUUUUAGAACAAAUAUUGUAUACCAUUGAUUAGAUCUAAUGGUUCACAAUUAAUACAUUAUUGAUAUUGUAAAAAAAUUUACAGCUUCAUAGAGGAACCCAUAUAAAAAAUAAAAAAGCCAAAUAUAUAAUUAAUUAAUAUAUUAUUAUAAUUAAUUAAUUAUUAUAUUAUAAUUAAUUAAUAUAUUCAUACAUUAUUAACAAUAAUCAUUAAUAAUUAUAAUUUUUGAAUAAAUAAUCACAAUAAUUAAUAUAUUAUUAUAAUUAAAUAAGUAAUAUUAAUAUUAUUAAUUAAUAUAUUUUAUAAUAAUUAUUAAUAUAAUUAUUAUAAUUAAUUAAUUAGUAAUUUUUACAAUUAAUUAAUAUAUCAAUAUAUUAUUGACAAUAAUAAUAAUUAUUAUUAUUAUAUUUUUUUUUUGAAUGAAUAAUCACUAUAAUUAAAAUAUAAAAUAAUAAUUAUGACAAUAAUUCAUUAAAGGUGUGUUUGUGAUUAUGGUGUAUUAUAACACUAUUCACAUUAAAAUAAUAUCAAACCCAUGUUUGGAACAAAAUUGCAAGGGAUUGGGGUGGGGGGCCUAAUGCGUCAACUGACGCAUUAGCUUUUUUUUUUCUUUUGCUUUUAACUUUUGCUUUUUGCUUUAUUAUUAUUAUAAUACUAAAAUAAUAAAUAAAUAUAGUUUUUAAUUUAAUAUAAUAUUUUUAUUUUAUUUGUUUUUACAUUAUAAUUAUUAAUAUAAAUUAAUAAAUAAAUAAUUUAUCAUUCAAUAAUAGUAUUUUUUAAUUUUUACAUUAUAAUUUAUUAAUAAAUUUAUAACUUAUUAUAACUAAUAAAAAUAUUUAAAUAUGAAUAAAUAUUAAUAGUAUUGUUUGGUGAAUUUAAAACAUUUUUUUAGAUAAUGUUUUAUAGUAUUGUUUGGUGAAUUUAAAACUAAUGAGUUAGUUGUCAAAGUGCGGGAAUAAUUUAAGUAGUUUGUAUGAUGAAUGUAAAUUGCUUUAUUGUGAUGAUGUGUAAGUAAUAGAAGCUGUGAAUGAUGAAAAGAAGUUAGAGCUUGAUACUGAGGUUGAUGCUAGGAUGGUGUUUGAUUCAGGUUAUAUGAAGAUUUUAAAAGACAAUAUUUCUAUAGAGUGCAAAACAGAAGUAAAUCUUUACUUGACAGAAUUAUAUAAGAACCCAAAAAAUGAAAGUCUUGAAAUAUUAGAUUGGUGGAAGAGUAAUUCUUCCAAAUAUCCAAUUUUGUCUUAUGUUGCUCGGGAUAAGAAUAUAUUUGAUGAUGCUUGAUAGCAUUUGAUGGCAUAGUAAGGGUAAAUAUUUAUUAAUUUUUUUAUUCAAAAAAAGAAUUUUAUGUGUUAUUUAUUUCAAUUAUGUUUAUUUUUUUCAGGUUAAAGUAUGGAAUACAAAUUGGCGUGGACAUUUUUCUUUUCGAUGUGUCAUAAUUCGAAACUUUAAAUGUAUUAUUGUAACUUUAUUUGAACCAUUAAUUUUGAUGUGUUAUAUUUUGAAACUUUAAAUGUAUUAUUCUAACUUCAUUCGAACAAUUAAUUUCUGUGUUGUAUUUUAAAACUUUAAAUGAAUUAUUCUAGCUUUAUUUAAAUAAUUAAUUUAUGUAAAUAUUAUUCAAUUUUGAAUUUGAUUGGUAGUAAAAUAUUUUUAUAUUAUUUUUAUUUUAUUAGUUCGCGGAUUGGAUAAACGAAUAAUUUUUAAUCCACAAACCGAUCCACAAAAUGACGGAUUAAAUACGGAUUGGGUCAAAUUCACAUCCAAUCCGCAGACAUAUGCAUUGGAUUUGGAUUGAAAAUUCAUAAUCCGCAAAAUUGUGGAUCGGAUAUGGAUUGAUGUCUGAUUCGCAAAAUUCGAUCCGCGAACCCCCUAUUUUUAAUAGUACCGGUGAUGAAAAGGUUGGUGCUUGGCUCGGCCUGGGGUCGCUACGGAGGGCUUAAAGAAGAAGAAAAAGGAGAAGUGGAAAAGAGCCACCGUAAGCCGCGAGGAUCCGCUAUUGCCGCUCUCAAAGCCAUCUUGGGUUUUUAGCUAAAACCCUCCUAAUCUUGAGAUCCUUAUGAGGGUGGGGGAUUGGGGGCUGUAAAAUGACGGUAUUAGCCUUCUUCUGAAUGGAGCUGUAUUUUUUUAAUUGUUUAUUGUUAUGUUACAUAACUACUAAUUUUAGAAUUAGAAAUCUAUUCGAGACUAGUCCUGAUCUUAUUAUGAUAGACAGCAAAUGCAUGAGCCACGAAGAUCUGGAAGAAUGCCAAAGCCAAAUCCUAAGUUUGCUACGUGAGGGCACCAUGCAAGCCAUGCAUGAAACAUGCAUGUGCUGAGAUCGUGAAGAUACGUGCUGGAGCUGGAGCCGUGAUCUAGGAAUACGCUUAUCAACGAUUGUGCAGCAAGUAAGGAGGGAAGCUAAGACAUGGAAGUUGUUUUCGAUUAUCUUUCGGUUUCGAAUUCUUAGCUAAGUUGUUAUAUUCUUUUAUUUAGCCGUAAUUGUAGGAUGGAAACCAAAGUCUUGUUAUUAUAAAUAAGCUCCAGAAUAUGAAUAAAAGCAUUGAGAAUUCUAAACAACAAUUAUUUGGUCCUUUCUCGCCAUAAGCAGAAAAAUAUCACUUGUGUUACGCGUAAUCAUUGGCUGCCUCUGACUGGGACCUAACAUAUUAUUAUUAAUUAUUACAUACUACCAAUACUAGAAUUAAAAAUCUGUUGAAUCUCUUUCCUCAACAAGAAGUAAGAAAUGAAUCUCUUCCCUCAAAAGUUAGAGAAGUGAAGUGAGAAUUAGUUAACUAAAUGAUUGUUUUCACGUUUGGAUUCUUAGAAAUAUGUGAAUUAGGAAUGUGAAUAAUUGUUUUAAUUUUUUUAUUGAAUAUAAAUUAAAUGAGUUAAUAAAAUUCUUUUACUUUAAAAUCCACUGGGGGAAAUUAAGUUAUUAGGCUGUAUAAGAAAAUUUAAAUUCUCGGAAAAAAUGAAAUAGAUGAUAGUUUUGUCUCAUACAACUAAAAACUUCAACUUUCUUCUUGAAAGAUUGGUAUCGGGCAAGAUUUACAAUGUGGGCCAUUGUUGAGGCCCUUAUAAUAAUAGAUUUAUGAAGAUGUCAAAUUAUUACUUAAUAUCCACUAUAUUCUUGAGCAUACUCAACUUUUUUACUUAAUUGGGGAUCCAACGAACUUUAUCCCUUGAAAUAAACGUAAAGCUACUAUUCAUGGGAAAGUAAGGGUUAUUUUGGACAGCGCAGUCAUGCGCAUAAAAAAGAAAAUCGCAUAGACAACUUAUAACAUCUGCCUCAAAAGACAAAGUCAGCUAAUUCAUUUUGAGAGGAUUGGCAGUGAUCCUAUUGAUCCAACAAAGACUAAAGUACAUAUCAAUUAUGGUAUCAUUACACAGACGAGCGACAUCGUGUUAUUCUUACACAGGGAUGCAUGGUUAUUAUUUUUCAUACUAGUACUUAAUUCAAACACACACUUAUAAUUUUAUGUGUAUACAAGCAGAGAGAGAGUUAAAUAUUGUUACAUGGGAAGAGGAUCAACAAGCAAUGAUGCAAUUCUAUCCUUGGUUUUCCCUGUCGAGUUAGUAUAACCAUCUCCAUUUUGAUAUAACACCACCAUCAUCCGAGCAAGAUUCAGGGAAGGAAGAAGCCAUUGCAACGGAGGAUGGUUCGGAUCUUGAAUUUCUUCAUUGAUGUUCAUCCAUUCAAUUUCCACCAUUCCUUUGAUUUUGUUGCACGCUUCUUCUUCAGACACGCCAUACUGUUGCACGUAACAUUCCACACUUGAUGGUGCAUCCCCUCUCUCUUGCUCGACCUUAACAAUUUUUUUAGAAGCAAUAAAUUAAAUUCAGUUAGCUUAAUUUAUAUGCCGUUAAAAUUGCAAAAGAAAAAAGUCUUUUUGAGUUCUUUUACUGUUAUAACCUCAUUGUGAUUAGUCUACUUAGGGAGCUAGGGCAUUUACUUACAAAGUGAGUAGGCAAUUGAUCCCACAAUAAUUUUAUUUUUUUAAUUUUUUCACCUUAAAUAUGUAUUUUUUUUUAAAAAGUUAUGACAGUCAUAAUAAAUUUAAAAAUUUGCCCCCGGUAAGGAUCCGUACAAACUAAAAAACUAAUCUUAUAAUGGUUUUACGUAGUUGCACCUAUGAGACAAUUUCUUCGCUCUACCCCUGAGUUUUUUCAGAGGAACAUUGCUGAGGAAUUUUAUUAAUUAAAUGGGUUAAUUCUUGAUUAUAUAUCCUCCUCAUGAAUUGACUAUUUUCAAAUCACCGUCAUAUUUUUUAAAACUUUAAUGUAUCCUCAUUUUUAUUCAGAAGACAAAAAAAAAAUAAAAUCAACUACCCCAUUUUUACUUGUCUUUUGAAUAAAAAAACAAUGUAACUUGAGGUUUUCAGAAGUAAAAAAAGGUGAUUUGAAGGUAGUAAAUUUACAAGAAUAUAAUCUAAAUUUUACUCAAUAAAAAAGAGUAACUGGUCCUUACAUCUAUUUAAGGGAGGAAAUAAUGUGCCUCACCCGUGGGAAAAGGUAUAUUAGAAAACGACGUCUAUCUUUCAAUAGUAAAGUUCAAACUAAAAUUAUAGCAUUAUGAAUGUAUUGGGUAAUUAAAAAUAAAUUAGGAACCGAGGUGAUUAAUAUAAGAAGUAUUUAAGGACUUACGUAUCAUUCUCCCUAAAUUAAGUAGUUAAAAUUCCUUUAAUUUGGUAUUUGGUCAUAAAUUCUUUAUCGAUAUAGUACAUACCUUGUACGUAUGGACGUCGUCAUCAAGGCGAGCAAUCAAGGAGGAAGAUCUAAUAAUUUUAGGAACACUAAUCGCCCAAUCAAGUGCUCGCUUGGUAAUUGCCAUAUCUUCUAAGCCUACAAGAGCUUCAACAGCAAGCAUGGGGUAUCCACUGCUCAUUGUAGAAUUCUCCACACAUUCUUCAAAUGUUGGCACAUAUUUCGCAUGGAACCACUUUGCUUCCACAAAGUAAGCCCUUACCAGCCCUUUUAUCUGAGAGAGAAUAAAGUAAAUUAAUUAUUCAAUUUGGAUAGCCAUAUAUGUAUUUAUUUGUGUAUAUCAAUUAAAAAAAAUUGAUAAUGAGUAUAUUCAUGAUUAUGAGUGUACUUACCGCCUCUUUUGCAUAGUACAUGCAACAAAGUGGUUCUUUAUUCACCAGCUUGUCCUCCAUUUCUUUGACAACAUCUAAGAGGGCAAAAUAACAGACUUGCAUGUAUUUUGGUAACUCAUUUGCUGCCACAACUUCCCACCUACCAAAAACAAUGUGGAUACUGUACUUUGAUUAUACGAAAAAUCGACUGCCACAUUAUUAAUACUUAUUAAUUUGCACACACCUCUCGAUUGCAUGAGUGAAUAGCUUAAGUUCUUCCAAAGUGCCAUACACAUCAUAGAUAUCAUCUAUGACAGAAGCUAUUGCGAUGAUUUUGGUCAUAAAUUUUCUAGUUGUGGAAUAUUUAGGCUCAAAAUAAACUCCUAAUAUCCAAAAGUAGCACUCCACCAACCUAUCCCUUGCAAAAGGUAGCUUUGUUGCAAAAUCAAUAUCUUUCCACCACCUGCAAAAAUUUAUUUUCCAAUGUAAAAUCGAUCUUCUCAGUCUUAUAAUGGAUUGAUUUCAAAUUUAUAAAAUAAAUUACUAGUUUUGAUGCAGAAAUAUGAUCAAAACCCCAUUGUUGUUCUAGUAAAUUAAUAGUCUACUGCCUCAUGUUCUAAACGCUCAUAUCCAUCAAGGUUUCAUGGAGGGGAAAAAAAUAAUAAAAUUGCCGAUCUCUGUGGAGUUAGCUACUAACAAUUUAACAAACAAAAGUAUUUUAAAUCAUAAUUUUGAUUUUAUCGGUAAAAUAGAAAAAGAUACAAUUAAAAUCGAACUGUAAAAGACCCUUUAACAAUAGAGAGAUUGUUGAUAGGUUUUAAAACAGUACAGGACAAAUGAUAAAUUUCAACAAACAAGGGGAGGUUUUGAUAUUUGAUCACCUUGAGAUCUCACUUAGCUCUAUCCGGUGUAACGCCUGCAAAAGAUUAAAAUCUAGCUUUGCAAGUUCUAAUAUUAGCUCAUUUCGUGUUGAAUUGUCUGCUUCAUAGAUGGAAAUAUACUGCCUUGCCUCCAAUCUUGGCAUCCCUCUGUGCAAAGGUAUCUCCAGGGAGUGCUCAACUUGGUCAGCUAGAGGAGUGCUUAAAUGGGACAAUAAAGAUUUUAAGUGCUUCCUAGAAAAUUCACAUGCUUCUUCCAAUAUAUUCUCCCCUUGUACUCUCAGAUAUGACGCCUCAUACAAACAUAGCAAGCCUUUCGCGUCAUUUGUUAACAUGGCCUUGAAUUCACCUUUUUCAUCUCUGAAUUUUUUAAAUAUAUCUGUUUCGUUGUUGUAAUUCAAGUGUUAAAAUUAAUUACCACUGAAUAUAUGUUAAAAAAAAAAUUGAUUGAAACUUUUGCUUAUGCAUACCUGCUGACACCUUGUAACCAUGCUGCCUUAGAAGCCGAAAUCGAAGAGCAACUAUGUAGAGAUCGUUAUUAUGAUCGUAAUUAACAUCACAAUUGCCGUUAACAUGGCUAUCAUAGAUUGUUUGUAAGGCCUCUUUGAUCUCAUUUUCAAAAUGAUAGGCCACACCAAGGCGUUGAAGUUGAUUAACAAUAGCCACAAUUUCUUCAAGUGUUUUCCAUGCUGUAUUAUUGCUCACCAGCAACUUUUCAAUUUCUGCUUUUAAUGUUUCAAACCGCUUUUCGACUUCCGUAUUGGUGUACUGCAUCAAUAAAAUUAUCAAAAUCAUGAUCACAUAUAUUGUGAAUUUUUAUUCAGAGAUCUAUGACCAUAUUAAAAUUAUGAAUAAGUUAAAAGAUAAAAAAAUAUAUAUUUUAAUAUAUGACAAAAUAUAUAUUUUUUAUCUUUUAGUUUAUCUUUAACUUUAAUAUGAUCUAAAAUCCCUUAUUAGAACAUCUCUUUCUAUAUAUAUUAGAGUCACAUGAUACAUACCUUUUCAUUUGAUGACACAUUAAUGAAAUGAUCACCCCAAAUGCUAGGAUGAUAAUUCGAGGAUCGACGGUUCACAUCGGCUUUCGUGCUUUCUUUUGAAGAAAGAACACUCUUAAGAUCCCUUUUUUUUUUUUUCCAAUCCAAGAUUUUUGUUGAGACCGAUCAAAUUAUACAAUAAAUAUUAAACAAGAUGAUAUAUAAAGAAAAAUAAAAAUAACGACACAAAACACAAACUGAUAUAUUAUAACAGAGAGUAUAAGUAUUAGAGUAUAUACCUCAUAACUCCAACAACCCCUAAUUCUUUCAAGUUCUCUCAAACAGUUCAAGAAAUAAAAUCACUUCGGAGCAUGCGAUGCCUUUCUUGAAUGCUUUCAAAUUUAUAGGUAAAAGAAGAGCUUAAAGUAAAUAAUGCAGGGGAUAAAAUCCCAUCAGAAAACACUAAUUAGAGUACGAUGAUGUCGACUGAAGGCGCCUUGUCGUCGCAUGCGAUGCCUUUCUUAAAUUUUUAGUAAGGGUUUGCCUACCUUACGUUUAUUUGUCAAGGUAGUAUUUGAUUAGCUUAGUAUAUAGAUAAUGAUAAAUAUUUUAAAGUUUUAUUUUUAAAGAAUAAAUAUUUACAAUCUUAAACUUUUAGAAAAUAAUAAGGUAAUUCUUAAAUUUUUAGUAUGGAUUUGCCUACUUAGCGUGGUAGCAGCUCUUUACUAAAAGGAUGCCUUACCAACAAAUUAUUCAAUGCCAACAAAUAAUAGCUGAAUAUAUAGUAUCUGGGGUACAGUCUGUCGGCAAUCAUUGAUAAAAGACAAACUUCAAUAGAUAAUAGUGUCUUUUCCUCAGAGUAUUGUUUUUAUUUGGAAAAUGUGGCAAGAACUGCAAAAACGUGGCUGCCUUCUAAAACAUUAGUUUCUUGGUGGCUCACAUCCACUCCACAUACCUUAUUAAUUUGAUAAAUGUUAAGUUAUAAUAAUUGUAACAUAUAUUUUUCAUGUGAACCACAUAAAUUAUGAAUUCUAUAAUUUUGUAUGGUUCACAUGAAGAAUGUAUGUUAUAAUUAUUGUAACUUAGAGGCUCCCUAUUAAUUUAGGUCUUGAGUUUUGAACUUUUAUAUAGUAAAGAUUCGUCAAAACCUAAUAAAAUUCAACUUUCUAACACCUUUUCUUUUUCUGUCUUAUUUUGUUGAUUUCAUAAAAAUUAAUUCUAAUACGUUUUCUGGAUUAGUUAGUGGCUGAAAUCAUGAAAAAUUAAAUUUUAUAUAAUUUUUCUGUGAUCAUUGAACUUUACAAUUGAAGCUGUCCAAUCAGUAAGAUUAAUUGUGCAGUCAGGCUGUGUUUUGAAGAACGCAAAAUUCUUCUUGUCCAAAAAAAUAAAUAAUUAUGGUGCUUGCAUCAGUCAUUCAACAAUGAGUAUAUACAAAUUAAAAAAUUGUGCAUUCACCUUUUAAAUUCACACACUUUAAGCGUAUAUAUUUUAUUAAUCUAAUUAUUAGUAGCUGCUCAAGCUUGUAUCAGUUGUGACUCGGUUUCCAUUCUUAAAAUCUUUGGCGCAUGGAUUCAUGUUAUAGCCUGAAAUCAUACUAAGGUCUUUUAUAUACACUUUAAGCGUAUAUAAUUGAUUAAUCUAAUUAUUAUUAGCUUAGCUAUUUAAUGCCUGGAAGGAUAUAAACGGACAGCGCCUCCGCCAAAAUGCUGUGCCAACAGAGCAUAUGGACUCAAGCUUAGUGUUUUUCGACUUCUUCCCUGCUUAAUAACCCUGAUGCCAUUAUGAGCUUGGAUUUGGGUUUUUGUUUCUAAAAAUUGAAAUGUGGUCAUCCCACAUAGUAAGCACACCAUACUUAAAUAGCUAAGUUACGAUAAAGAAUAGAGUUGUUGGUACUACGUAAUUUAUCUAGUUUAAUUUGUAGUCUUUAAUUAAAAUAAAUAAAAUGAAAUUCUUAUGGCAAUAUUUGGUGAAAUAGAAAUAAUGAAACUAUUGGGCUUCUUUCCACAAACUUGCAUGACAUAUGUCACAAACAAAAUAGUUGAAAUAGAGUGAUGAUACAGCCAUAAACUCUUAUACAAAUUGAUUUGGCAUUAAUUCAUUGGUUGAAUUAAAAUACAAAAUAAUAAAAAUAAAUCAUGUGCGCCAAGAGAUAUAUGAUUCAACUAAUUUUAUCGUACCACAUUAAUUUGUACAAAAUAAAUUUGUAUAAGAGUUUGUGGCUAUAUUAUUACUCGUUGACAUAUUAUGGCGCAUGCAAUAGCAAUAGCACACAUUUUUUCAGCAAUUUGAUCCUUUUCCAUAGGAAGGGUAAAAUGGUUAAAUUUACUUUAUCUUCACAAGAAAAAUUUUAGAGCCAAAUAUAAAAUCAAGAUUAAAAGGAGAAAAAUUCUAUGAUAUCGUGAUUAAAAUUAUGGUAUCAAUACCAUGAUAAAUAUAAAUUUUAUAAAUUACGCACAAGACUAAUGAAUGGAAAGUAAAACAAAUAAACUAAUAUAAGAAUAGUAAAUUGGUGUUUUAUAAUUACAAGCAAAAUAAAUACUUGUGAAAAUUACAUAAAACUUUUAAAUUAACAUUAAAUUUUAAUUAAACAAAAAAUAAUUUAGUUAUUUAUUUAAUUUAAUUAAAUAAAAAAUACUCAUCAAUUUAUUUUUAAUUGAUUGAUAUUGAAACAUAAAUUGGUUGAUAGAGAAAGUUUAAAUUAAUUGAUAUUGAAACGUGGGUCCAGGCCAAAUAAAUGUAAUUAAUUAAUUUCCUUUUACACCAUUCAUUACUAUCUUUUUGAACAGUUGUCACCGUAGUUUUGGAGGUUAAAGAAACAAGCAACGCAAUGUUUCAACUUUGGCAGGCCGCGGAAUGGAAAUCAACUACAGUGAGCCUUUUGAUGAAGCAGGGUGUUGAGUCUCACAAGUAGUGUACCUUGCCGAGGUUAUAACUUAAACUAUAGGUGUUUGUUUUUUACAUAUAAUAUAUGGUUUUGAAGUUUACACUGAGAUGAACAAAAGUCAGAACCGUCUAAGCCAUUAUGUCCCAUGAUUAUGUCAAAGUUUGGCAUGGUGCAUCUAGAAUACAUCUAGAAGCUUGGCAUAAACAAAGAAUAGUGGCACAUGGCUUUGAAACUUGAACAUGGAUUUUACCCACCAAGUUUUGAUGAACAUGGUUUUUUACCCACCAAGCUUUGAUGAACAUGGUUUUGAAGGAGUUUUUAAUAUCCAUGGCUUUGACUUCCUUGGCCUUGAUUUUGCUAUAAAUACAAGUGCUAAUGAAGAGUUUAUGCAUUCCAUUUUUGAGAGCAAUUAAGAGAGUUGAGAGAGAGUUUAAGAGCUUGAAUUUAUAAGCUCUUAUUUUAGUGAUUUGAGAGUUUGGGUGUAUUGGGUUUUGGGUAGUGAGCUAAAAUACUACAAUACUUGUAACUCCUUUUCACUAGUAAAAUAUUUCCUUCUGUCUUCGCCCGUGGAUGUAGGCUAAAAGCCGAACCACGUAAUUUCUGGUGUCCUCUAGUGUGCUUAUUCUUUAUUUUAUUUCCAAUUUUAUUUUAGCUGCGGUCCUGCUGCACCCACCAAUUUCCUAACAGUGGUAUCAGAGCCAUUGGUUGUAUUUUUGGAGUCGGGAAUUGUUCACGUAUACGGCGUAUGGAACUAUUCACGUAUACGGUAUACGGCACUAUUCACGUAUACGGUACUAUUCACGUGAAACGGUGGAAGUGAUCCAAGAAUUUUACGGUGCAAAGCAGGGAAUAGUGGUGUGAGUAAAGCAACUGUGUGAUUUUGUACAUGUCUAGGAAAGUUCUGUCAUAAAGGCGAUAAGAGCUUAAGGAGUCUGGGUUUUAAGUGGGACCAUUGUGACCUCUCCAGUCUUUCCUGGGAACUUUCCUGGUGUGCAUUCUCACACAUACUCACAACUAUUCAAGGUGGUAUACUAGCUUGUGUGCAGUAUUUAUCAACAAAAUGGCGGCAAAGUAUGAAAUUGAGAAAUUUAACGGAAAUAAUUUUUCGUUGUGGAAAAUGAAGAUGAAAGCUGUAUUGAGGAAAAAUAAUUGCUUGGCAGCAAUUGGAGAAAGGCCCAUGGAGAUAACUGAUGACAAGUGGAACGAGGUAGACAGCAACGCCAUUUCUGAUCUACACUUGGCACUUGCGGAUGGAGUAUUAUCUAGUGUGGCAGAGAAAAAUACGGCGAAGGAAAUUUGGGAUACUCUCACAAAAUUGUACGAGGCCAAGUCACUACACAACAAAAUCUUCUUGAAGAGAAAACUCUAUACUCUUCGAAUGGCGGAAUCUACAAUGGUGACCGACCACAUCAACACAUUGAAGACUCUAUUUUCACAACUCACAACGUUGGGUCAUAAUAUAGAGGAAAAUGAACGUGCAGAGCUUCUACUUCAAAGUCUACCAGAUUCGUAUGAUCAACUCAUCAUCAACCUGACGAACAACAAUCCAGUGGAGGGUCUAGUUUUCGACGAUGUUGCAGCCUCCGUAUUAAAUGAGGAGAGCAGGCGGAAAAACAAGGAAAACAGACAAGCAAGUUCGCAGCAAGCAGAAGCGCUAUCGGUGACGAGAGGGAGAUCAACGGAACGUGGUCCCAGUGGGAGUCAAAAUCAGGGUAGAUUAAAAUCCAGAAGUAAGAAGAAUGUUAAAUGCUACAAAUGUGGCAAGAAAGGGCACGUCAAGAAAGAUUGUUGGAGUAACCAGAAGAGAAAAGAGGGCAAAGAACCUGAGUCAUCAAAUGCUCAGGGUUGUGUAGCAAGUACCUCGGAUGAUGGUGAAAUUCUUUACAGCGAGACAACAACUAUUUCAGAAGGUAGAAAACGACUUUCUGAUGUCUGGCUUAUAGACUCAGGAGCUACCUGGCACAUGACCUCUAGGAGAGAAUGGUUCCACACAUAUAAACCUAUCUCAGGAGGAUCUGUAUAUAUGGGAGAUGAUCAUGCCUUGGAGAUCGCUGGUAUUGGUACUAUCAAAUAAAAAUAUUUGAUNNNNNNNNNNNNNNNNNNNNNNNNNNNNNNNNNNNNNNNNNNNNNNNNNNNNNNNNNNNNNNNNNNNNNNNNNNNNNNNNNNNNNNNNNNNNNNNNNNNNNNNNNNNNNNNNNNNNNNNNNNNNNNNNNNNNNNNNNNNNNNNNNNNNNNNNNNNNNNNNNNNNNNNNNNNNNNNNNNNNNNNNNNNNNNNNNNNNNNNNNNNNNNNNNNNNNNNNNNNNNNNNNNNNNNNNNNNNNNNNNNNNNNNNNNNNNNNNNNNNNNNNNNNNNNNNNNNNNNNNNNNNNNNNNNNNNNNNNNNNNNNNNNNNNNNNNNNNNNNNNNNNNNNNNNNNNNNNNNNNNNNNNNNNNNNNNNNNNNNNNNNNNNNNNNNNNNNNNNNNNNNNNNNNNNNNNNNNNNNNNNNNNNNNNNAUGCAUUCUAGACUUGAUUCAUUCUGAUGUUUGGGAAUCACCGGAUAUAUCCAUGGGAGGUGCAAAGUACAUGGUGACUUUCAUUGAUGACUAUUCCAGAAGAUGUUGGGUAUAUCCGAUUAAGAAAAAGUCAGAUGUAUUUUCAGUAUUUAAAGAAUACAAAGCGCGGGUGGAACUUGAAUCUGGUAAAAAGAUCAAGUGCUUGAGGACAGACAAUGGUGGAGAAUAUACAGACGGCGAGUUUCUUGCUUUCUGUAAGCAAGAAGGUAUUCAGAGGCAGUUCACGGUGGCAUACACUCCUCAACAAAACGGAGUGGCAGAGCGGAUGAACAGAACUCUUACAGAAAGAAUAAGAGCUAUGUUGAGGACUGUUGGUUUACCCAAUUCAUUCUGGGCAGAAGCAGCCAAAACCGCCUGUUAUAUAGUAAAUCGGUCGCCAUCUACAGCUAUUGGGUUGAAGACAGCGAUGGAGAUGUGGACUGGAAAGCCAGCUGAUUAUUCCUACCUACAUGCAUUUGGAUGUCCUGUGUACGUGAUGUACAAUGCCCAAGAAAGGACAAAGCUAGAUGCAAAAUCUAGAAGAUGUAUCUUCUUGGGGUAUGCUGAUGGAGUAAAGGGGUAUCGUCUGUGGGACCCCACUGCCCACAAGAUCGUCAUCAGCAGAGAUGUUAUCUUUGUAGAAGAUCAACUACAAAGGAGAGAUGAGGAUGAUGACACUACAAAAGAAAAGUCAGAGACUGUGCCGGUAUAUGUUGAAAAUAAUCUAGAAGAUUCACAUUCUUCUGAAGCAGCACCAGAGCACGAGGAACAAGAACCAGUCGAGUUUGAGGCUCCAGAAGUUCGUCGGUCAACUCGUGAGAGACGACCGCCUGUGUGGCACUCGGAGUAUGUCACAGAGAUCAACGUUGCAUAUUGUCUUCUAACGGAGGAUGGAGAGCCUUCAACUUUCCAUGAAGCUUUGGAAAGCUCAGAUAUUGCUUUGUGGAUGACAGCAAUGCAGGAAGAAAUUGAAGCUCUACACAAGAGUAAGACAUGGGAACUUGUACCACUACCACGUGGAAGAAAAGCCAUUGGAAACAAAUGGGUCUACAAGAUCAAACGUGAUGGCAAUGAUCAAGUGGAGCGGUAUCGUGCGAGAUUGGUGGUGAAAGGAUAUGCUCAGAAAGAAGGUAUUGACUUCAACGAGAUAUUUUCACCGGUGGUUCGACUCACAACAGUCAGAGUAGUCUUGGCAAUGUGUGCUACAUUUGACUUACAUCUUGAGCAGUUGGAUGUGAAAACUGCAUUUCUUCAUGGAGAACUUGAAGAAGAAAUAUAUAUGCUCCAACCAGAAGGUUUUGCAGAAACAUGAAAGGAGAACUUGGUUUGCAAGUUGAACAAAUCUCUAUACGGUCUCAAACAGGCGCCGAGGUGUUGGUAUAAGAGAUUUGAUUCCUUCAUCAUGAGCCUUGGAUACAACAGACUCAGUUCAGACCAUUGUGCAUAUUACAAGAGGUUUGAAAAUAAUGAUUUCAUUAUUUUGCUGUUGUAUGUGGAUGACAUGUUGGUAGCAGGUCCCAACAAAGAUCGAAUCCAAGAAUUGAAGGCACAGUUAGCUAGGGAGUUUGAAAUGAAGGACUUGGGACCAGCAAACAAGAUUCUAGGGAUGCAAAUUCACCGAGACAGAAAUAACAGGAAGAUUUGGCUUUCACAGAAGAAUUACUUGAAGAAAAUCUUGCGGCGCUUCAACAUGCAAGAUUGUAAGUCAAUUUCUACCCCACUUCCUGUUAAUUUCAAAUUAUCCUCAAGUAUGUGUCCUAGCAAUGAAGCAGAGAGGAAUGAGAUGUCUCGAGUACCGUAUGCAUCAGCAGUAGGAAGUUUGAUGUUCGCUAUGAUAUGUACUAGACCGGACAUUGCACAAGCAGUGGGAGCAGUCAGUCGAUACAUGGCGAAUCCUGGUGGAGAGCAUUGGAUAGCUGUGAAGAGGGUUCUGAGAUACAUCAGAGGAACCUCAGAUGUUGCAUUAUGUUAUGGAGGAUCAGAGUUUACUGUCAGGGGUUAUGUGGAUUCAGAUUUUGCAGGAGAUCUUGAUAAAAGAAAAUCCACUACUGGUUAUGUGUUUACACUUGCAGGAGCAGCUGUAAGCUGGGUUUCGAAACUGCAGACCGUUGUGGCUUUAUCUACAACAGAAGCAGAGUACAUGGCAGCUACACAAGCUUGCAAGGAAUCUAUUUGGAUACAAAGGUUAUUGGAGGAGCUCGGGCACAAACAAUAGAAAUUUUCUGUGUUUUGUGACAGUCAGAGUGCCUUACACAUUGCAAGGAAUCCAGCCUUUCAUUCCAGGACAAAGCACAUAGGAGUCCAGUAUCACUUCGUUCGUGAAGUAGUGGAAGAUGGAAGUGUGGAUUUACAGAAAAUUCAUACUAAAGAGAACCUAGCAGAUGUUUUGACCAAGCCGAUAAAUACUGAUAAGUUUGUCUGGAGUAGAUCCUCUUGUGGCCUAGCAGAAACGUAGGCAACAUGAUUAUGGCGAAGUAGAAAGGAUGGUGUGGAGAUUGAUUGUUUUUCAAUUUAAUCUCCAAGUGGGAGAAUGUCAAAGUUUGGCAUGGUGCAUCUAGAAUACAUCUAGAAGCUUGGCAUAAACAAAGAAUAGUGGCACAUGGCUUUGAAACUUGAACAUGGAUUUUACCCACCAAGCUUUGAUGAACAUGGUUUUGAAGGAGUUUUUAAUAUCCAUGGCUUUUACUUCCUUGGCCUUGAUUUUGCUAUAAAUACAAGUGCUAAUGAAGAGUUUAUGCAUUCCAUUUUUUAGAGCAAUUAAGAGAGUUGAGAGAGAGUUUAAGAGCUUGAAUUUAUAAGCUCUUAUUUUAGUGAUUUGAGAGUUUGGGUGUAUUGGGGUUUUGGGUAGUGAGCUAAAAUACUACAAUACUUGUAACUCCUUUUCACUAGUAAAAUAUUUCCUUCUGUCUUCGCCCGUGAAUGUAGGUUAAAAGUCGAACCACGUAAUUUCUGGUGUCCUCUAGUGUGCUUAUUCUUUAUUUUAUUUUCAAUUUUAUUUUAGCUGCGGUCCUGCUGCACCCACCAAUUUCCUAACAGAUUAAACCGAAAAUUCCAUUUUUUUGGGUCAUUUUUCAGUUUUAAGAUUCUGUUAUAUUUUUUCUGCUUCUUCUAGGAUUUUCAUCUUUUUUUUUUAACUAGAAUUUGAGUGCCUUUUGUUUUCCUUCUCUUACUUUGGUUAGAAGAACUUAAUUAUCAUAUUAAAUUUCGGAUUUACCUAUUUUGAUAAAUUCGCAUUAUUCAGACUUAUUAUAGAAGGGGCUCAAAACCCUAGUUCUAUUCAUUCAAACUAUUCAAUGAAGCUUAUCAUUAUUUAGAAACCUAAUUUCUUCUCCUGAAAACCCAAUAAAGUUUCCGUUUUGUCAUUUGAUACCCCUCAAAAGUCAAAAUUCCGCAUAAACUAGAAUAAGCUUUUUGAAGCCUUUCAUAAAUUCAUUGCAUAAUUCCUCUUCCGUUGUUUCAACAAAUUUUUAAGCCUAAAGCCAGGAACUAUAGAAUCAUAUUUGAGCACGUCGGGACAUUAAGUCACGCCGCAACAAAUUGUUAAGUGUUAACCAACAUAAUAUUUUAUCUUUUUUUUUAAAUUUUACUCCCGCAAUUAUAUACAACUUUAUAAGAAGACUCAAAUUCGCUAUUUUUUUUUUUUUAAAAGACAAGUAUCAACCAACUAAAUUAAGCUAAAGAGUGGUUUGCUUCCUUUUUCUUUUUAAGAACCCCAGGGAGUUUUUUUUAAAAAAAAGUGCAAGUAGUUAGGGGAUGUAAUAAUGAGCCUUACCCUUUAAAUGAAACUUGAAACCAUACUCUCAAACCAAAGGCAGCAAGAUGCCCCAAAAACAACAAAAAGUGAAACCAACUAAACAAAUACUGAUAAUUUUCCAGUAGCCAAAGUACGUACAAUUCCAGCAAACCAAAAAGCUAGCCGUUAAUGCGCAUUGUCGGCUUUAGUUUAAGUUGGAAAACAAGCAAAUCUUGGUGUUUGAUGGAUGAGGUUUCUUAUUAUCAUCCAAACCAUAAAAAGAAUAAAGUAUUAGUUGAGAAAUUAAAGAAAGAAACUAGAUAAUAAGCUAAAAUUGUCACAAAUUUAGAAACUGAGUUAAAAAUAUAUAUUUUUGAAUUGGAUAUUAAAUUAGAGAAGGAAUUAUGAUUUAUUAUUAUCUAUGAGGAAAAUAUAUUAUAAGAAAAAUGUAAUAAAUUUGUAGGAUUUUAGAAGUAUUACUGAUUAAACCACAAUUUAGAAUAAAAAUUAAGAUACAAAAGUUUAAAGAUAUUCAAAAUACUAAUUAAUUGAAUGAUAUUUUUCAACUUUUAUUAUAAUUUAAUAAACAAAAUUUGCAUAUUAUUAUUAUUAUUAUUAUUUUUUAAAAAUAUCUUUAAGGUGCCCGGGCGCCCUGCUGGUCGCCUUGAUAAUCAGCAUCUGCCGGGCAUGAAAAGUGGAGACCAUUUCGUGCAUAAUUUUUCACGUGCCAGCGAGCAUUUUUUUGCUUUUUAGUUUUUUGAUAAUAAGUUUAAAAUGAAAGGCUUGUAUGAGCUCUAGUCCUAUCGGCCAUUGUCCCCAUCAUCCUUUUGUUGUUUUGACAUGACAAUUAAUAUUAUCCAAGCGAAUGAUCUAAGAGAGCUGCUACCUUACAUUUAAUGUAUGUACAGCCUUCUCUAUUGGUUGUGCGUCCAAAUGAGACCACAGUUCAAUUUAUGAGGAAUAUAUCUUAUAUUAAAUGUAAGGUAGAGAAAUUCAUGAUCUAAGGGAGCUGUUAUAAGGCUUGUAUAAGCUCCAGUCCUCUCGGCCAUUAUCCCCAUCAUUCUCCCAGUGUUUUGACAGAACAAUUAAUAUUGUCCAAGCGAAUGAUCUAUCAUAAAAACACAUCAUAGAGCUUAAGUUUUGUGGACGACAAAAGGACUUUUUUUUUGCUUUGAGGCAAACUUCAGCCGUACGAGGAAAAGCUUUAUUGGUUAGUAAGAACAAAGACACUACCAAAAAAAAAAAACAAAAAGAUUUUUUUUUACUAAUGAACUAACUGUGAUGCUGUUAUGGUCUUAGUUUAGUGGUGGACUUAUUGAGGGCACAAAUUUAAAUUUCUAUAAAAAUUUUAUAGUUCUCUUUCCACAUACACGAAUGAGGUAGAUUAUCCUAAAAUAUGUAGUGGAAGAUGAUUUUUGUAGUCAUUGUGAUUCGAUAGUGAAAAUAAUUUAAAUUUAUCACAAAUAGAUGUAGGCAAUUAAAAAUAAAAAAUUAACAACUUAAUUAAUUUUUGAAAAUAUUAUUCACCGUUAUUGUUCACGAUUACUGUUACGAUUACUGUUUAUCCACAUCAAAAAUAUUAAUUUUCCAAAAAACACAAUAAAUUGCAGAAAAUAAAUAAUUCGGAGAUUUUUACAUGGUUCGAAUAAUUAAUCAAUCCUACAUCCAUGAGGCCAAGCGCAGAUGAAAAAUAAUUCACUAAGUUGAGAUGUUACAGCUUAUGGAUUUACCAAACUUAAGAUUCUCACUUACAGUUUAUCACCAUACAGUUUACUCAGCCUUAGACUGAAUAUGCUUCUCUUGAAUAAUUGCUACCCCUCUUAAUCCACGAUCCUCAAGGCACUUUGUAAAGUAAUCAAUAACAAUUCUUCAAUUUUUCAACGUCGAGUGAUCCAAGAUCCACAUAGACUCUCUACAGAGAUGAAAAGAAGAUAAAUAAAUAAAUCAACACAACAUUAUGCGCCAAAUUCAAAUUCUCUAGGGAGGAGGCUGAAUUUUGCUACUCUAUUUUAUACUCUGCGUUGUGCGUACCUUCAAUUGUGAAAUACCUCUCUUUAUAUAGGCAUUAGGAUUUCACCAAAAUAGCAAGUCUUAAAAGACUUGGAAUCUGCAUAGGAAUAAAUCUGAUCUACUUGCCUUACUUGUCUCCCAAGAAAUAUCUAGAGCAUUUAAUGAACUUUUUGUUUGAACAAACUUCUCGCUCUAAAUAGAUCUCAUGCGCCAAUUAUAAAAUCUCAUCAUUAAUAGACUUUCUAAACUAGCCAUCUAAUUAAAUUAAAAAAAAUAUUUCUAAUAAAUUACUAAAUUAGGGAAUAAUAAAUUAAUCCCUAUUACAAGAUAUGCAAUAAAUAAAAUUUCAAUUUAAUUAAACUUACCAUAAGAUGCCAACUCUAUAAAUAAUGAACUUAACAGAUAGACUUUUAAAUUGUACUGUAGCUGCAUUUUUUUUUAACAACUAAAAACACACACCUAGUAUAAAGCCCAACAUACAAUCCGUAGAAUAAGUGCAUGUAUUUUAAUUUACAAAAGGCUUCAAUUGUAAUAUAUCAAUUUUAACAAAUUUCAAUAAAUAAACACCUAUAACCGCAAAAAAAAAAAAAGAACUAAAUUUAAGUCCCCUAAUCAAAAAUUUUACUGCUAGAGUAUAAACAUAAUUUUUACAAUUUUAUAACGACUCUGGUCUUGGUGAUAAAAAUGGUUCUUUAAUAAAAGCUCUAGUAUAAGAAACGACGAUCAUCCUUUUAAUUUAAACAAAAUAUCAAUGCACGAGACAAAAAUAGCUACACUUACGAGGUUUGCUCAAGUGCAUGUGCCAAUCCAUCCGUGGAAUUUUAUAAAUGAUCGUACAAACUUUUACUUUAACUAUUAUUUUUUAAUAUUCUAUUGUAUUUAUUAAAAACUUUAAAAUUAAUUAGUUUAGUCAAAAGGUAUAAUAAUAAUAAUAAUAAUAAUAAUAAUAAUGAUGAUGAUGAAAGGUAUAUUAAUAAUUCAUAAAGCUUAAGGAUAUAGAUUUCAGUAAAUAUUAUUACCUCUAUGUGAUAUUCUUUUAAUGUCAUGUUUGAUUUAAAGAAAUUAAAAAAAAAGAGAGGAAACGAAAAGAGAAAAAGGAGAAAAAAAAACCAGAGAAUAAUGGAUGAAUUCUAUUUCAAAUAAGGGUCCUCCUAUGUUGCAACGUACAACACUUUUUGUCAUGCAAAUGCUAUCAUGCUCAUUUGGCUUGAUUGAUGAAGAUUCAUUCUUCAGUUUGUUUUAUUUCUAGUCCGAGAAAGUACUUUAAUUCUCCUAUCAUGCCCAUUUCAAAUUCUUUACUCAUACAAAAUGAAAAUUCCUUACACAGAGUUAUUAGUAGAACCGAAAAUAAUUUCAUCAACAUAAAUUUGAACAAUGAGUAUGUCUUGAUUCUUAUGCUUAAUAAAUAAUGUAGUGUCUGCUUUUCCUAUUGUAAAACCAUUUUCCAAAACAAAUUUAUUAAGUCCAUCAUACUUUACUCUAGGUGUUUGUUUUAAACUACACAAUGCUUUAGUCAGCUUAUAAACAUGAUCCAUAAAUUUUUUGUUUUCAAAACUAGGGGUUUGUUUCACAUAAACUUCCUCCAUAAUGUAUCCAUUUAAAAAUGCACUUUUAAUAUCCAUUUGAUAUAAAAUAAAAUCUUAUGACAUGCAAAUGCUAAUAACAUUAUAAUAGAUUCUAAUCUAGCUACUGGUACAAAAAAAUCAAAAUCAAUUCCUUUUUCUUGGUUGUAACUUUGAGCCAUUAAUCUAGUCCUACUCCUUAUAACCACACUGCUUUCAUCCAUUUUAUUUCUAAAUACCCAUUUAGUGCCUAUGAUGGAUUGAUGUUCCGGUUUAGGAACUAAUUCUCAUACAUUGUUUCUCUCAAAUUGAUUUAACUCUUCUUGCAUUGUCAUAUCCAAGAUUCAUCAUUUUUUGCAUUCGGAAAGGAUUUUGGUUCAAUUUGAGAUAUGAAUGCAACAUAUUAACAGGUAUUUCUAAAGGAUGACCUAGUAGUUGCACCUAGGAUCACCUAAAAUUAACUCGUUGAGGUGAGAAGAAAUAUACUUCCACUCCUUGGGGAGUGUUUGUGAAUUACCUUUAUUUUGUUUGGUAUUCAUUUGUUCUUCUUCUUGUUGCUCCACUUGAUUUUCACAUAGUGGGUCAUCUUGUUUAACAUUUGAAGUCACUUCUUGUAAUUCUUCAUCUACAUCAUCAUUAACAACAACUUUAUCUAUAGAGGAAGGGUUAGACUCAUCAAAUGUAAUAUGUAUAAAUUCUUCCACAACCAAGGUCCUUUUAUUAUAUACUCUAGAAGAUUUAUUGUGUUUAAAUAACUAACAAAGUUACCAACAUCAGAUUUUGGAUCAAAUUUAUGAAGAUUAUCUUUAGUAUUCAAUAUAAAACAUUUGCAUUUAAAAAAUUUGAAAUAACCAAUGUCGAGUUUUCUAUCUUUCCAAAUCUCAUAGAGAGUUUUAUUGAGAUAAUAUCUAAUCAACCCACGAUUUAAAACAUAGCAUAUGGUGUUGAAGGCUUUGGCCCAAAAGUAUUUUAGUGAAGCAUUCUCAUUUAAAUACUCCUAGCCGUUUCUUGAAUAGACAUAUUCUUUCUCUCAACAACUCAAUUUUAUUGUGGUGUCCUAGGUGAUGAGAAUUAAUGUUCAAUGCCAAACUCAUUACAAAAACAUUCAAAUGCAUUAUUUUCAAAUUCUCCUCCAUGAUCACUUCUAAUGCAUGCAAUACUAUAACCUUUUUCAUUUUGAAUCUUCUUACAAAACACUUUAAAAGUAUCAAGGGAAUUAUCCUUAUUGGCUAAGAAUAAUACCCAUGUGUGUCUAGAAAAAUCAUUAACAAUUACAAAAGCAUAAUACUUUCUACUCAAGCUAAUAUAUCUAGAAGGUUCAAAUAAGUCUAUAUAAAGUAGUUGAAGUGGUUUUGAAGUGGAAAUGUGAUUUUUUUUUUAAAAAAAAGAGGUUUGAAUUUGUUUACCAUUGACUAUUUUUUUUCAUUAAUAGUACCGUUACUGCAGCAUCUACUAUAGCACUGAGCAGAAUCCCUCAUGCAUCCUCAGCUGUCGCCUGUUAGAUAUCUUAUUCUAAUGCAACCUAAUAUUGACCAAUUGUUACGCCAACAUUAAAUAUAGUAUUAGACGAUCUAGGUUCUAUUUACCUUACAAGGUGAAUCCUUAUGUCUAAUUCUUCACUAAUUUUAGAUCAAGCAUGGCCUUAUUCAAAUUGAGAAUUACUCAACUUGGGAAACCCAAUCUAAAACUAAGUAUUGUUUUAAUGAGAUCGACUGAGUCAGACUUUUUUUAGGCUCUUUCUUAGUUAGUAUCUACUAAAUGAGCAAUUAGCCGAAAUAAGGAAUUAAAAUAAAUUCAAUUAAGACAAAAUGUUAUAGCAAACAUAGAGCAACACACAUAUGACAGUCAAACAUCCAUUAAAAUCAUUUAUUACUCAACUGCAAUCAAAUUCAGUUCAUAAUUUACAAUAAAACAGUAAAAAAAAAUUAUUUCAGCCAUUAAAUAUAUCCCUUAAAUAAAUAGAAAAUAAUAAAACAAUAUAAAAAAUUGAAGUCUACACGAUCUUGUGAUCUCUUUUUCUUGUUCAUUAUGAAACUCUUUUGCAACCCUUAAUUCUCUAUUUUUUUUUCCUUUGUUUUUCUCUGUGUUUUUUCCUUGAGUGAUGGCUCUCUCUUUUCCUUUGCAAGCAUGCUCCUUUUAUAACUCAAAAUUAGGCAACCAAAAGUGUGUGGCGCACGUUCUCCAUUUUUGGAAACUUUAGAUCGCAAUCUUUUAGUUGUGACGCGUGAAAUCCAGUCUAUCAUUGUUCUAGGAUUGUUACAGCAACAACUACAACAUCUUCACUGUUUCAGGCUUGUUUUAAUUCUUCUGUAGCCAAGUUCUUUUAUUAUCCCUGCAAGUAUAUUGCAGCAGAAUUCCUUCUUUAAAACUUGAGCUCUCGGUCACCUAUAAAUAUGCAUAUAAUCUAAGCACAAAUUAUUAUAAAACAAUUCAAUUUAUUAAAAAUAAACUAAAAUGGAUGUUCAUGCAAAAUGUAACUAAAAUGCAAUAAAAAAAAUAUGUCUUUUACUCUCUAAGUAAUCUUUAUUUAAGUCUAAAAGUGUCAUGAUAACUCUCAUUUUAUUGAGUUAUCAGGCACGAUUGUUGAUGAAUGGCUUAAGUGAUGGAUCGAAUACUUGGAAGAUGUUUUUGGAUGUCUUUUACAAGAAAUGUUUUCCUCAGAGUGUUGCUGAAAAAAUGAAGAGGGAUUUGAUUUAAGUUAGUAAGUCUGUGGCAGAGUAUGAGGCACCUUUAAUGCCUUAUCUCAAUUUUGUUCCAACGCUGGUUGAUACACAGGAGAAGAGAUGUAGAAGCUUCCUUAAGAGAUUAAAUCGAUCUAUUAGAGAUCCUUUGGAACCCUUGAGGAUAACAAAUUAUGUUGAUUUGGUGGAUAGGGCUUUUUCUAGAGAGAUACGUGUGAAUGAAUCCCGAAAGAGACAAGAGCAGCGAAAGAAGCCUGGGCGACGAGGAGGAUCACAAACGAAAGGCUCUAAUAAUAAUCAGAGUACAAGCGGGGAUGACAAGUCUUCAUAGAAAGGUGAUGGAGCUUCCUUUCAGAAGAAUAUUCCUCCAUGCCAAACUUAUGGAAUGAUGCAUCGUGGUGAAUACCUUCUGUUAACAAAUGCAUGUAUCAUUGUGGGCAAAUGGGACAUAACAUCAAUGAUUGUCUUAAGAAGCGUAAUGAUGCUAGCGGUACUUGAGAUGAUGAUAGUCCGAGGAAGAAGCCCGAAGUUCAAGGUCGUGUAUUUGCAAUGACAUAGCAGGAUGCUGAGGCAUCUAAUGAUGUUGUGACAGGUACUCUAUCCUUAUUUUCUAGAGGUGCUAGAGUGUUAUUUGAUUCUAGUGGUAUGCACUCUUUUGUAUCAUGUGCUUUUAUUUGGCAUGUGGAUAAAAAUACUAAGCCACUUGAGUGUUAUCGAUCUAUUAAAACUCCUAAGGGUGAUAGUAUAGCAGUGAAUCGGGUUUAUAAGUCUUGCCCAACCAGUUUUGGUGAUAGAGAGUUUAUUGUUGAUCUAUUGCCAAUUUUGAUGCAAGACUUGAUGUUAUUUUGUUACAUAUUUUCUUUUAGAGAUUUAAAACAUUUAUUGUUGGAUAUUAUUUUGAUGGUUUAGAAAUGAGACUGAUGAAAUGCAGUUUCGCUUCAGUUUCAUCUUAGUACUUUAUUAGUGGAAUUAGAGUGAUACAUUUGUGGUAUCUGGUGUGUGUUUUCUAUGAUAUGGGUGUCAAUGUGUAAGGUUACACAACAAGUAAUAUAAUGAUAAGUAUUCAAGAUCUUCUUCACAUGGAUUGAUGUUAUUGGAUUUGCUACAAAAUUCUAACAGUGCAAUUUAGAUUAAAUUAAAAUAAAAUAAUUAAAUAAACUAAUAAACUAACUAAAUUAAAAAUACAAUAAAGAAAAUCUUAAAUCAAACACGAAGAUGCAAUCAAUAAGAAAAGAGUAGUUUAGUAAUUAAACUCAUUAAAUGGUUUUGACUAUUUUUCUAAUUAAGAACUCGUUCUACAACAUUUACUACAGCACUGGCAGAAUCCCUUAUGCAUCAUCAGUUGUCACCUGUUGGAUAUCUUAUAUCUAUAUGGAACCUAACAAUGAUAAGUUGUUAUGCUAACAUUAGAUAUAACAUUAUGUGUUCUAGGUUUCAAUUACCAUACAAGGUGAAUUCCUAUAUCUAGUUAUUCACUAACCUUAGAUCAAGCAUGGCUCUAUUCAAAUCAAGAUUAAUUCAACUUGGGAAACCCAAUCUAAAACCAAGUAUUGUCUUAAUUUGUUCCAUUAAGUCAGAUAUUUUUAAGGCUCCUUCUUAGCUAGUAUCCACUAAAUGGGUGAUCAAUCGAAAUAGAGAAUUAAAAUAAAUACAAUUAAGACAAAUUGCUGUAGCAAACACAUAGCAACACGUGUAUGUUAGUCAAACAUCCAUUAAGAUCGUUUAUCACCCAAUCACAAUCAAAUUCAGUUCAUGAUUUGAGAAAGAAAAAUAAAUAAAAGAGUUUCAGCCAUCAAAUAUAUCCCCAUGAAUAAAUAAAAGACAAGAAAAGAACAAGAAGGACUGAUUUUCAAUGGAUCUCUACGUUUUCUCGUCUAGUGCAGCCCUCAAUCUCUCUCUUGAAUUUUGUUUUUCUUUUGCUUCUUGGCAUUUUUUUCUCCUUUGGUGACGACUCUCUCUUUUCUUUGCAUGUGUGCUCAUUUUAUAGCUUAAAAUUAGGGCAACCAGAAGUCACUACAAGAAAUUUGACUUUUUAAGACGAUUUAUUUUACGAUGUUUGUAGACUUUGUCAUAAACUAGCACUAAUUGUGACAAUUUUUUAAAAUCGUAGCAAAUAAUUUCGUCCUGGCUCAUGUUAUUUUUUGUAACCAAUAAUAUUUGUUUUAGGACCUAUUAAUUGGUUACCUAAUCAAAUGUUUUGUCACAAAUAAAAAAUUAGUUCCAAAAGGGCGUGCUUUUUUUAAUGCAAAAUAUUCCCUCCAAAAUUGAUCAUUUUUUGACAAAAUAUCAUCUUUGGUGACAAAAAAAUACGGUAGCGAAAUAUAACUAUAGGUGACAUAAUUAUUUUGUAACUAAAAGAAGGAUGUAAAAUUGAUCAAACCAUUUGGGACAAAAAAUAUUAGUCUAUAAAGAUAAUAGCGUUUUGAAUAAUUUUAAGACCCUUUUCCGGUCAAUAAUAGGUACUACUGUAACAAAACUAGUAGUUUAAAAUUUUGUCUUGAAUAAUAUUGUAUUUCAUGACUUUUUUAUUUUUUUUAAGUGACAUAUUCUUUAUAAUUCUAUUAUAUUUUGUGAUCAGCAAAUAAUAAUUACGUUGGAUUUAUAAAAAAAAAUUAUUGUAUUGAAUAAAUAUUUAAAAAAAACUUCAAUAAAAACUAAAUCAUCUCACUUAAAUCAUUAAACAUAGCAAGCAGUCUCUGAAUGAAAUCGUGAAACACAAAUUAAUCCCCUCCCACCGAUUAGUGCACCAGUGCCAGCCAUUGUCCAUUGUCCUAAUACCGAAACAUUGAACUCUAAAAUCCCAAACCGAUUAAUCUUCAUCCCCGGUGAUGCAAUCACCAAAAGAUUCCAUGUCGACCCUGCCGAAAAUGACGAAAACGGUGACAGGAGAGAAGUCGUCGUUGAAAAAGCCGAGGGAUUUGUGGUGUUCUCUGGAGCUGCAAUGAGCAUCCUUAAAGCUUUAAACUGACACAACAAAAGCAGAAAUGAAGCAACUUAGCCUCAGCCACAGCCGAUCGCCGAGUCGACUCAGCCCACCCCACCUCCUCCUCAAUAGCCCAUCUUCGCGGUAUAUUUUUGCACUAAUUCAUUUAUUUUUUUCUUUGAAAAAAAUUCUUGGUAAUUUGUAGAAUCUUUUCUUUCUUUGGGUAAUAAUAGAAGCCAAACAUAUUUAUGGACAAAAGUGAGCCGGAGCCAGCAUCGUGUAGAAUAGUUGAGAUAUUGAGGGGAGAUACGCUUUGGGGAUUCUCUAUGAAGUGUGGGGUGUCAAUUGAUGCAAUCAAAGAGGCUAAUGGGCUCUCAGGUGACACCAUCUAUUAUUCUAUUAUUUGUAUAUUUUUAUGCUUAUCAAGUAUUUGACAAAAUUUCUAAGAGAAUUUAGUAAAAGAAAAAUAAAAAAUAUAUGCAAAUAAAUGAAGGAAAUUGGAAGCAAAGUUUAGUGGGUAUUGAGAAACUUUUGCAAAAUCAGAGCAUUAAGAUGAAUUUGCUUUUCAAUUUGGGUAGCAGGUUUAGGUGGGAUGACAUUAGUUUUUUUUUUUAUUAUUAUUAACUAGUCUUCUUCAUAAGAACUUAGAAAAUUGUAAUCUUUCUACUAUUGUUCACUUCAACUUAAUAUGUAACUAAUCAUCUUUCUUUAUUUUUUAAAAAAUAUUAUAGCUAGUAUCAAUAUAAUAAAAAGAGUUAUUCAAGGGAACCGAUAUAAUUAUAAGUUAGAGCUAUAGAAUAUUUAAGCUACAAAAUUUUAACUAUAAAAUAUUAGGUAGCUAUAAUGUAUUGGUUCGAAGGAUGGUGUUGAAGCUUGGGUUGCUACACUUUGCUCAAUAUGUUGUUGGAUUAGCUAGGAAGUGUACAUGAAGCGACAAAAUAAAGGUCAACAAGCCUUUUUUUUUUUUUUUCAAUGUGGUUGUGGUAUGUUUAAUCAAAAUUAAUGUAUUUAUCUAUAUGUUUAAUCAAAAUUAAUGUAUUGAUAUUCUUUUGUACUAGGAUAAAAAAAAGUAUGGAGAGUCUCUUGGAUUACUUUGUUUCAAAAGAUAUAUUGCAGUGAGUGAAAAAGAUUGAAGUAGUCUCUAUACAUAAUCUAAAUGUGUGAGCUAUUUUAUUUUAUUUUUCUUACUUAAUCUCUUAUUUCUUUCAACUUUAUAUUUACUGUAAAUGUUGAUCCAUUGACUGCUUAAUAAUUUAAUUUAGGUUUUUUACACCAACUAUUUAAUAGAUUAACUUAAGAGUUUCGGAUGCAAAAUUUGUGCAAGUGAAUCGAGGUUGAUUGUGUGCGUACUUGUAAUCUUUUGAUUAUUUUGUUAUUCUGAAUAAUGAAAGCAAGUAUGUGCUUGUAAUCUCCUAGUCUUUCAUCUAGAAUUUUUUUUUUCCAUAUAAUUUUUUUGAAUGAAAGAAUUGAUUGUGGAUAUGUUUCAUUGAGAAAUUUAAUUAAUGUUGCGUUCUAACCUAAAUAUUUUUAUUUAUAGCUAUUUGCCUUGCUAUUUACUAUUCUUUUAUGCAUUGGCAAUAAGAUUUUCUUUUAUAAGAUUAUUCUUCUACCAUCAAUUAAGUGUUUUCUCAAUUUUUUUAUUAUUAAUAAUUAUUUUUUUAAUCCUGUAGGGCCAAAUGAAAUGAUAGAUGGAGCAAAAUGAUGUACCAAUAUCAGAUGAUCAAAGUCAUCAUCAACUACAACAUUGUCUCAGCAAUCAAGGAUAAAAAUUAAAAUCAAGUAACAAGAUAGCAAAUUUAAGGAAGUUGAAGCAUUCAUGAAACAACAACCUUUGUUUACUUAAUUCUCCUUUUGUAAUGUUACUUUAAUUUUUCUUCUACAAUGUAAUCUUAUUUUUAGACUAUUGAUCUUUUUACUUUUUAGAUUUUAGAUUUCUUUGUGAUAAAUUAUAUUUAUGUUAAUAAUAUUUUUUAUAUUAAAAUUUUUUAUCAUUAAAUUUUGAAUUCUAUGACCACAUAUUGUUAUUAAAAAUUAUGUGAGACUAUAUAAAUUGUUCUAAAAACAAAUUCGAGACUAAAUUAAUUACCAAUUGUAUUUGCAAAAAUUGUUACAAAUUACAACUACUUGAGACAAUUAUGUAACGUCGCGAUAUGUAAGCUUUUACAUAUUCGUGAGACAAAUAUUAUAGUCACUAUAAAUCACCUAUUAUGACAGAUAUAAAGUGUCAUUGAUUGCGUUUUUUAAUAAUAUCUAAUUUGACCAUUUCGAAUAUCACGUGUGACAAUUUUAACUUAAUUUUAAGAUAAUGAUUUUUGUUGUAAAAACAUAUUUUUAACAACCAAAAUAAUUUUGGUAGCUAGAACCUUUUAAGACGCUCUUUCUGUGACUAACGUGUGACAAUUUAUUUUUCAUCAUGAAAAAUAUAAGGUAACUAAUCGAUUAUCUUUAGUGACUAAAUUUUUUGUAAUAAAAUAUCAUUUCUUGUAGUAAGUCUAGGACACAUAUCUUUCAUUUUAGGAAACUCCAGACCGUAAUCUUCUAUGUAUCUCACGUGAAACCUUCUUUGUCAAUUCUCCAGGAGUGCUACAACAAUGGUGAUAUAGCAACAGUGCUACAGCAAUGGCUUUAGCACCUACACUACUCCAGACUUGUUUCAAUUCUUCUAUAAUCAUAUUUUUUCCUUAUCUUUGCAAGCCUAUUGCAGCAGCAUUCCUCCCUUAAAAUUUGAGAUUCCGAUCACCUACAAUUAUGCACACAAUCUAAAUAAAUAAAUUAUUCCAAAACAACACAAUUUAUCAAAAAUAAGGUAAAAACGGAUAUUCAUGCAAAAUAUAACUAAAAUACAAUUAAAACAUGUCAAAAUUUCAUCAAUUUCCUUAUAUCAUACCAUUUCACAGAUAUGAACAUCUUUAUUCUUUACAUUGUAUAAAUGAAAUUAUUAUUUAUGCGUACUGACGGUACAGAUGUUAUGACAUGAAUAAACCCACAAUUUCUCUCUUUUAGCUUAAAUGGAGAUCAUAAUACCCACAAAAUUACGAAAAUGACUCUUUAUCUGAUCUUUUGAUUUUUCAUAAUUCCAUCCCUAUCAACAUUCUUGGUAUUAUCAGAUAUUUUCAAAUAAGUUCAAUCUUAAAUGUUUUUAUUCCACAAAUAAUGUGCAACUGUCUAUGCACUAGUCUUUCUUAAGACUAGCAUUGAAUCAAUGCAUAAAAUGAUUGAUAUUGAAAGAGUUGUCUUUGGCAGACUAUGUUCUGCCGUAGGUCCAUUUCCACAUUUCUUUGAAAAUAGGAAACAUUUAAGUUCAUUCAACCCAAAAACUACUUUAUUAUAAAAAUGCUACUGUAAUUUAAAUUUUUUCGAUUUUAUCCCAUUAUUUAUAAUGUGUAUCAAUCAUUUAUUAAAAAGAUAGAACUACCUUUACAAAAUGACCACCACUAUAAUUUUUAUUUACUUUUAUUUUAUUAUUUUGCAAGGAAAAUUUUAUCUUUUUUAUGGAUGGUUGAUAAAAAUUUCAUAUAUUGAGUGUAAAAUCAAACAAAUUAACAUAAUAAACUUCAGUGAACAGUUAAUAAUAUUCCUCAAAACUAUUUUUAAUAACAAAAUAAACUUCAAUUUCAAUUUCUAAUCUUUGGCCAAAGGCUAAAAGGAAAACAAAUCCUUUUUUACUUAUGGGGUUUGAUGCAAUAGUCAUUUCAUCGUUGCUUUUAAACAAUAACACAUUCCAUCCCUACUUUUAAAUGAUAACCCAAACUACCCUUCUAUGAAUUUACAGUUAGUUUAUUGUAUAAUUCAUUGAGGGUAAAAUAUGAUUUUCAAUUAAAUAGAUACAAACCAUUUGAAAAUAAAAAUAUCAAGCACAAUUACAUAACAUUUAACUUUCUGUAUAAAUUUAAAAUUUAAAGAUAACUUAAUAAAACAAAAAUAACACUAAAGAAUAUGAAAUACAUAAGUGUUUGUUGUGUUGACUAAAUUUUUUUAAUUCAGUCAACUUAAUUUUUUAGUGAAUAAUAAUAANNNNNNNNNNNNNNNNNNNNNNNNNNNNNNNNNNNNNNNNNNNNNNNNNNNNNNNNNNNNNNNNNNNNNNNNNNNNNNNNNNNNNNNNNNNNNNNNNNNNNNNNNNNNNNNNNNNNNNNNNNNNNNNNNNNNNNNNNNNNNNNNNNNNNNNNNNNNNNNNNNNNNNNNNNNNNNNNNNNNNNNNNNNNNNNNNNNNNNNNNNNNNNNNNNNNNNNNNNNNNNNNNNNNNNNNNNNNNNNNNNNNNNNNNNNNNNNNNNNNNCUAACGCAAGAAUCAUGCUGCAUACGCACACGAGAUGGCAAAACCUAACAAAAAACAAUGAAUUUAUUUUUGAGGUGCAGGGUGUCUCACUAAAUCGGGGUGUGCAUGGUCUGUUUUACGCUUUUUUGAAGAUAAAAGGAGAGUUAGAGAGGAAUGGUUGUGGCGAGAGAUCAGAUCUGGAGUGAGAGAGCUUGAAAGAAUGCCUUAAACCUACAACACAAUAAAAAGGAGGUUAGAGGUGGAGCCGCUGGUAGCUGGCAACCACACUCCACCACUCAAGUUAGGUUUUAGGACUAUUAAUGGUAUUAAGAGGUUGCAAACUCUCUAAAAGGCUGGGUAGAGGUUGAAGGAGACCUCAGCCUAUUUAGUAGAGUUUGUGUUUUAUUAGGGACGAGAAAUGUAGAACCUUGGUAUCUUUGUAUAUGGAGUACCUUGACUGCUCUACCACGUGGUGCAUUUCUAAUGGCGAUUUUGCUGUUCUUUCCAAGAUUUUUUUGUCUUUUUACCUUUAUCAUGAUUAGGCGGUUGGAAACAUGUUUGAGAAGCAAGAAAGAUGUUAUUGGCAGGUUUUUUCUCUUGUACACGUGAUGCAUGUUGCAAAUACCUUUAAAAAUGUUGUUUUGGCAGUUUUUUAGCAUGGCAUCUGAGGAUCACUAUUCUUAGCAUGCUAUUUCUUACUUUUUGCAGGUGUGAUAGCAUGUUAUCCCCUCUUUUCUAGCAAGAUAUUUCAUAUUUGAUUCUGCAAAAUCAAAUAUUCUCUUUAAGCGAUGGAGAUAUUUCAUACAUGUGACAUUUUAUGUAUUUUAUCUAGUCUUUAAUACGACGUACAUAUCUAGCAGAUGUUAUAUAAUUGUGUUUGAGAAUUUUAUUUUAGAAUGGAUUGUAUCUUUUUAUU